AAGACUGGUUUAGUCUUUAUGUAAGACAUCAUGAAUCGUGUCCCAUAUGCUUCGGAUAUAGGAUCGAUUACAUGUGCUAUAUUCAUCCGUUCUAAAAUUUUCCAAAUGCCUGGGGCAUUAAGAAGGGAAAAGGUUUAGAACUGGAUAUGACUAAAAGGAUUAAACAAUUGUCGAGGACAAUCUAAGGUUUACCAAAGAUUGGUUGCUCAAGGACAAUUGGAAGUAUAGUGAUAAUUCUGGAAGGACCAUAUUGACAUAAUCUGUAAGGAGGCAACUCUUGUUCAGAAGUGAUAGUCAAAAUGGAAUCUGGAAAUGUUUCAAAGUUAGAAUUUUCAAUCUGUGUAAGAUUAAGGAAACUUAAUGCAAGAAGGAUAUUUCCAAGGAGUUGAUCUCCUUUGGAAUACUCUGUAAUGAUUGUUGCCAAGUCUUUGUGACUUUGUGCAUAAUCGUUACAAGAGGAUCAAUGCAUAUAAGUUUAGAAUCUAACAGAUUUCUGUAAAUGGCAUGAAUUUGGAAUUCUUGCAUUUGCAGUAAGGAUUUGGGAGUGUGAAAAGAGAAUCAUUGAAGUUAUGUUCAAUUGAUCUAGUUCACAAAGUAAAGAUCAUAGACAAACAUAGUAUGCAUACUUGGUGUGUGGCAUGACUAGUGUUUAAGAAAACAUAGUGUACAUGCUUGGAGCAUGGGACAACUAUUGUUUUAAAUUCAAGAAUAAAGUUGAUAGCUGAAACAGUAUACAAUGAAUAAUGUGUAAUCAUAUGGUGAUAAAUAAAAGGUGUUUUAUUUAUGUUCAAAGGGUUGAUACCAUAUUGGAUUCAAUUAUUAUUGUGUUUCAUUUUGCAUGUUUUGACUUCCCGAAUAAACUGGGUUAUUCUUCCGGAAUGACUAAGUUAUUCAAACCAUCCACAGUCGGUCAUAUGUUGGAAGUAGAUAUGAAUUAAGACUGUCAUGGGUUGGCUUGUAGAGGUCUAAGGUGUUGGACAAAGGGCUACAACACUCAUGAGUGCUCAUAAGUUCUGAGUAUUGGAUUCAACCCGCGCUCAUUGGAAUCACUUCAUGGAUUUUAUCACGAGUGAUCAUGAGACGAUAAUAUCUUAUAUUCUUCAAACCUAGAGAUAUGAGUUGUUACUAUGAGUUGAUAGUACAUUGAUUGCACGAAAACGCAUUUGGUAACUCGGUGCUAUAAAACGUGCCUUUGUGUAUGAUUCAACAAGUAGUAGAACAAGCCAUAUGAGUCGAAGUUUAUCCAUUCCUUUUACCUUCGGGAUAAAAGCGAUAUCUGUGGGCCCCUCGAUGAUUUGAUGAUGACAAAUGGAAGUGCUCGGCCGGGCCAGGACUGAUUUGAUUUGUUCAAUUAGUCAGUCGUCAUAAAUCGGAAAUCGGGAAACAACAAAUGGACAGAGAGAAUGAUUAUAAUCCAUGUCUCAGUCCAUAUGAUAUCUAGAAUGGAGGAAUAUAUGAUCCCUUAUCUAAUGGACAAGUCAUUGACAAAGGUCAGAGUUCAUCUACAAGGUCAGAGUUCGACAGAAGCUUUUGAGAGCUACGAUUGCCAGUUGGUUCCUGAAGUCAUACGCAAUAAUAGUUUUAGACUUAUCCAAGUGGGAGACUGUUGGAUUAAUGUCUAAGUCCAUAACUAUAAUUGGUAAGACUUGACCCGACCCGGCAUGGUCCAUUUGGGUUGCAUACCAUCAUGCACUUGGAUAGACUAUAAUGAGAGAAAUAAGACACUUAUGGUUAUUAAUAUAUUAUAAGUUCUAGUAUAUUAAUAAUAAGAAUAAUAAGAUUAUUUAAUUAGUAUUGAUCAAGAAUUAAUCUAGGAUUAAUUAAGUGAUCAAAAGAAGACUAAUUAAAUAUAUGGGUUGAUUGUGUAAAUCAUCCAUACUUGUAUAGUGGGCUAAUGCUCCAUGGAUUAUCUAGUUGGGCCAAAACCCAUAUGAUGCUCCAUGGAUGCUCCAUGGUGUAUUUGAACCCAUGGAUCCAAGGAAAUGGAAAGUCAUGACAAUUAGGGUUUGCCCUAAUUGUAACACUAUAUAAGCAUCAUAUUAUUCACCAAAAUCGGCACUAGUAAGUAUACUAGAAGGGCUAGCCGAUUUCAUGAAGUGUGGGUUUUUCUCUCAAGUUAUUCCAUGUGUAUUUGGUGUUGUGUGAACCAUUUGAGGUGUCACACUUGGGGCACUAGGCACUCAAGCUUCAUGAAGACUUUCUACAUCAAGAGGUAUGUAUUCUAUCUUGUUACAUUCAUUGUUUUUGUAUGCUAGAUUAGGAUAAUACCUUGGAAGUUCUUAUUUGCAUGUAUAGUAGAGAAAACAUAGAUCCAAGGUUUUUAGGGUUGCAUGUACACUUAGGAGUGUUAGAAUGCUCAAAACCCAACAGUGGUAUCAGAGCCUAGGCUUGUUUUCUUGUUAUACNAGAAACAGGAGAGAGCGUUCCAAACGCUCAAGUGAGCCUUAUGCACCGCACCAAUACUAUCCCUCCCCGAAGGAAUAGAAGACUUCGUAGUCUAUUGCGAUGCAUCGAAUCAAGGGCUCGGGUGUGUUCUGAUGCAGAGAGGUAAGGUCAUCGCCUACGUCUCCAGACAGUUGAAGACACAUGAAGUUAACUACACGACUCACGAUCUUGAACUAGGAUCAGUGGUGUUUGCUCUGAAGAUCUGGAGACAUUACUUGUAUGGAACGAAGAGCACUAUCUUUACCGACCACAAGAGUUUACAACACAUUUUCGAUCAAAAGGAGCUCAACAUGAGACAACGACGGUGGGUCGAGCUACUCAGUGACUACGAAUGCGAUAUUCGUUAUCAUCCGGGUAAAGCCAACGUAGUAGCAGACGCCCUAAGUCGGAAGGAAUAUUCUGGUCGCAGAGUCAAGUCAUUGUCAAUAACCAUCCAUUCACACUUGGCUAAGCAAAUUCAGGCGGCCCAACUGGGAGCCAUGAAACCUGAAAAUGUGACGAGCGAAUCCCUUAGAGGAAUGGACAAAAAUUUAGAAGUCAAGGGUGACGGAGCCUUAUUUUUCAUGAACCAGAUCUAGACACCGAAACAUGGUGGUUUCUGAGACUUGGUCAUGACCGAGGCGCACAACACUCAGUAUUCCGUCCACCCAGGUUCAGAUAAGAUGUAUCUGGAUCUUAAAAAGCUAUACUGGUGGCCUAAUAUGAAAGCAGAGAUUGCUACCUUCGUAAGUAAAUGCCUUACUUGCGCAAAGGUUAAGGUCGAGUACCAGAAGCCCUCUGGUUUAUUGCAACAACCAGAGAUUCCAGAAUGGAAGUGGGAGCGGAUCACUAUGGAUUUCAUAACCAAGUUGCCCAAGACAACGGGUGGACUUGACACCAUAUGGGUCAUCGUUGAUAGAUUGACCAAGUCUGCACACUUCCUGCCUAUCAAAGAAACCGACAAGAUGGAGAAACUUACGAGAACAUACAUUAGGGAAAUCGUACGGCUACAUGGUGUACCUAUGUCCAUUAUCUCCGAUAGAGAUAGUAGGUUCACCUCAAGAUUCUGGCAAUCACUACAACAUUCCCUAGGAACAAGGCUGGACAUGAGCACAGCCUACCAUCCACAGACCGACGGACAGAGUGAGAGGACCAUCCAAACACUGGAAGAUAUGUUGCGAGCCUGUGUGAUUGACUUUGGGAAGGCAUGGGAUACUCAUUUACCCCUUGUCGAGUUUUCCUAUAAUAACAGUUAUCACACGAGCAUCAAGGCUGCUCCAUUUGAAGCUCUCUACGGCCGAAAGUGCAGAUCCCCUCUGUGCUGGGCUGAGGUGGGUGAUACCCAAUUAGCCAGGGGGCAAACUUCUGACAGUACUCUCACCGGUCCGGAGAUCAUUCGGGAAACAACAGAGAAAAUCGUUCAGAUCCGUGAACGAUUGAAAGCCUCUAGAGACCGACAGAAGAGCUACGCUGACAAGCGAAGAAAACCUUUGGAAUUUCAGGUGGGAGACCGAGUCCUUCUCAAAGUCUCACCCUGGAAGGGCUUGAUACGCUUCAGAAAGCGUGGGAAGCUAAAUCCGAGGUACAUAGGACCCUUCGAGAUUCUCGCAAGAGUCGGCCCCGUAGCUUACAAACUCGACCUAGCGGACGCACUUCGUAACGUACAUUCUACAUUCCACGUAUCUAACUUGAAAAAGUGUCUGUCCAACGAGACUCUUGUAAUCCCACUCGACGAAAUCGAGAUCAACGAGAGCCUCAAGUUCGUGGAAGAACCGGUAGAGAUCAUGGACCGUGAGGUCAAGCAGACGAAGCAAAGCCGUAUCCCUAUCAUGAAGGUUCGCUGGAAUGCCAAGCGAGGACCGGAAUUCACUUGGGAACGCGAGGAUCAGAUGAAACUGAAAUACCCUCAUCUUUUCGCUUAAUUGUUUAUAACUUCUUAUUUGCUUAAAUUCUAAUUUCGGGACAAAAUUCCUUCUAACGGGUGGAUGAUGUGACAACCCGAAAUUCCCAUUUUGUACGAACAUUAUCUAUUCAAUAGAAGCUAGACCAGUUUCAAUGAAUUUCAGACUUUUCCGAAUAAGUUUGUGUACAUUAGGGUUACGUUUAAGGAGAUAUCAGGAGAGUGGAUGCUCAUGGGUUUGUGAAACCCGAGUAUUUCAAAACUUCAUAAAAUUAGAGUUCAAUUCUAGAAUAAAAAUAUUUUCUGCCAAAAUAUCUCAGGACUAUAAAUAGAUUUCUGAUCUAAAUUCAUUCAUUAUUCACGUUUCCAACUAGAGAAAAGCCAUUUUCUCUCUCACGGAUCUUCGGGUUUUCAUCCCAAAUCGUGAGUACACUUCUCUAGUUGUGUUAUAAUGCUUGUUAUAUGCUUAAUAACAUAGAUUACAUAUCAAAUAUAUGAGAUUCGGGAGUUUACCGCCCAAGAACGUUCUUGGGGAGUAAACUCCAAAAUGAGGCUUAAAGGCUAUCUAGUCCCAUUUCCUUGUUAAGUAACUAGCUUAGGAUUAUAUGUAUGUUUAUUUGAGACUAGUAAACAAUCAAAAACACCUAGCUUAGGGUGUUCACGUCCCAAAAACUUCUUAGACCGUGAACUCCAAAUUCAAGGGCAAAAUGUGCCCUAAUCACUCCUAAGGCUUUAGACAUUAAUACCCAUUUACUCCUAGCUAAAUUGUGGACUUAAAAACAUCAAAAGCACCCCUUAAAGGGAGUUUAUGGCCAAGUAAAUACUCUUAGGCCGUAAACACCAAAUAAGGGCACCAAAGUGUGCCUAGGGUCCUCCAUAGCCUUAAACAAAUGCCUAGAAAUUAUCUUACUUGUGCUUGGGACUUGAAAGAUUAAAAACACCCAUCCCAUGAGAGUUUAUGAUCGUAAACUCGAAGGGAUUUAGCCUUGGGGCUGUAAACUCCUCAAAGGAGUAUUUCUAUGCCCUAAACUACCCAAAGGAUUAAACCACCAAGUAAGACUUAUUCUAGAAAUCAAAUAGCACUUCAAAACACCAAAUACCACCAAUUUGAGAGUUCAUGGCCGUAAACUCAAGGGUUUACGACUGUAAACUCCUUGUGUGGAGUUUAUUGAGGAGUAAACACUUAUACAAGGUCCUUGGAAGCUUUAAACCCUUUUAGCCUUGUCCCAUAACAACCUAGAAGCAACCUUUAGGACCUAUAACACUUGUACAAAGUUUUUACAUGCUGCUAAGUGUCCCAACAUAUUUCAUUAGUUAUUAUUUGGCUAAUUAGUUAUAUAUAUGCUCAUUAUAUGAUAACUAGGCUCGUUCGUGUGAACAAGUCUCCGUUUGCCACCUAGCACGGUAUUCGACACUUUAAUCGAAUCCACUCACCACAAGUGAGUUCAUACCCCUUUAAUUAACCUUUGAAAUACUUUUUAAUGUCUUAAAUACUUUAUGGGGGGGAUACAAGUUAAAUACUUAUAGUUAUUACAUCAAUCACAUGUGAUUAAUAACUAGAAAACCAAUGAUUUUAUUAUUGUUCAAACUGUUUAUCAAACUGUUUUACUUCAAACUGUUUUACAAACUCUUUUACUUAACAAAUACUUUUAUUUAAACUAUGUUAUACUUCUUAUAAAUUGCAUGCCCAUAUAUGUAUAGAUAUAUAAGCAAUGUUUAAAGGGCUUAGGAAGGCCAUCUGCCCUAUUUCCUUUUUCUAGAUUUGGAUGCGGUCUGGUGGGAUUUCGGGUAGUCGUCCAAAGGUCGUUUUAAUAUUAAUUAUAUAUCAAAUGUACAUAUAUAGACAUAAAAGUACUUCCAUAUUCAUGCGUAUUAGUCAGAUCAUUAGUAAGUUAGCAUCGGGGUAACACAGGAUCAUACUAUUAUAAAUUUCUAGAUCAAUGAGUCAGUUCAUUCUUGAGUCAAUACUUAUUACUAAAAGUACAUAUACAACUAUACUAGAACAAGUAACAUUACAUUACAUAUACAUGAAUACGUUAACAAUUGUGAUCUACUGUAUGGGAGCAUGCCUUAUUUGACAUGACCCGAGUUGUAGCCAGAAUCUCUUGAAGGGAGAGCGUGAGUUUGCGUAUAGAUCUAUACUGGAUUGACUAUCCUACAACUGGCUGCUAGCAACAGCCGGACCGGCAGGUCUGCGGGUGCCAAACGUCAUACCUUAUUUUUCGACUAUACGUUGUCGUUGUUACCAGUCUAUAGUAUGGUGCAAUUUAUCACAUGAUACCUUAAUAUAAAUCCAGUUUAAGGUAGUUAUUACAGCAGUAGUUCCUAUAAUACAACACUACAGUACUACAUUAAUUUACCCAUUACAUAUAUUUAGUGAUUAUUUCACUUAAACAUUAAUGUACAAACUAUAUUUUGUUAAAUGAUAGUUACACUUGGGAAAUUACACACUUUUACAACAAACGAGCAUACAAAACAGUUAAGCCUUGGUAGAAGGCUACUUUAAUAGAAAAUAUAGGUUUUUCUGAGAGAUUCAAACUUUUACAAACACUUACAAACAUUUACUUACAUUUUACAAACUUACACUUGAGACGUGUUCAAAUCUUUUUGAUAACAAACAUCGACACUAAAAUACUUAUGAACUCACCAGCUUAAUGCUGAUAAACUCUUUCAAAAUAACUUGUAUUCUCAGGUCAUCAGUAGACAGGUACCGAGGCCAGCUCUUGAGAAGAUGGAGCGCAUCCAAGACUCAUCUUAUUAUUUUGAUUUACAUUAUAUUUUUGGUGUCUAAAACUAUAUAGAACACGCUUGUAUUAAAAUUAUAUAUUUAAUGCAAUGGAUGAUGUUGUUUGCUUAUUUACAUUUACUAUGUUGUGAUACUUUACAUGACGUCAUCCGCCCCAGAACGUUUCUGCCUUUCUUGGUUUUGGCGUGUGACACUUGGUUUGAGGGAUUCGGAUGUACCUUCGGGUAUGUCCGGACUCAAACUAAGGAAGUGAGGAAAAUUUUCAAAAUAAAUGAUUUUUCUAAAACAAGCAAGAGUUUCUAAGAGGAAAUGGGAAAGAGCAGUGUGUACAAUCCGCCAGAGCCCGAACGGUGAUUUCCCAAAAUACCAUUACUUUGUGUUAUGAAAUAUGUUAUGAGAUAUUAUGCAUGCUAGAGAUAGGCUAGGUAUUUCAUAUUUUACGACAAGAGUGGCCUGAUUUGUGAUGCCUUAGCCUAGGAGUUGCUGUUAUUUGUGAUGCGCUUUCGAGUAUGUGCUGAGUAUGAGUAUCCAACAGGGAUCCUAUGUAGAGAGGGAUUUGGGUAGAGGAGUAAUCUAGGAGAGAUACCUAGAUGAGCAUUUGUCAAGCCUACCGAGAGAGUAGCUAGAUACCCGCGGGGGUAGAGUUGUAGAGUUCGGUGAUAUCUGUUGAGUAUGAGUAGAGCUAGUGGAGUUAUCACCUAAAGCGGGUUAUAUGUGUUUAUUCGACGCCCGAAUGCUGCUUUCUUCAUGCUUUAUGGAGCUCCCGAUGAUGGGAGUCAGCAAGUGAAUGUGACGAUAUUUAGGAGGUUGAUGACUGGCAUCAUAAGGAAUUUCUCAGCAGUUGAUGGCGGAGAAGUGUGAUGACCAAGGAAGAGCCUAGGAAGUGACCUUAGUCAGAUAAGUACGCUGACAGAGUAGAGCAUUUUGCUGGGGAGCGAGCAAGCGUGUUAAGAUUGGUGAUGAGAAGGUUGAGCAGCUACUUAGGGAAUCUGGGUUGGUCCAUGUAGAGAGUAUGGGUAGAUGUGGCAGGUAGUAUGGGCCCGUACUACUGAAAGCAGAGGACCCGUACUCGAUGCAGGGAGUAUUCUAGAGGUUCUAAGUAGCAGAUCGAGAGGUGAUGUCAUGGUUCGAGUACCCUGAUUGGUAGCAGAUCGAGUGGUGAUGUCAUGGUUCAAGUACCAUGAUUGGUAGCAGAUCAAGAGGUGAUGUCAUGGUUUGAGUACCAUGAUUGGUAGCAGAUCAAGAGGUGUUGUCAUGGUUCGAGUACCAUGAUUGGUAGCGGAUCUAGAGGUGAUGUCAUGGUUCGAGCACCAUGAUAGGUAGCAGAUGGAGAAGUGAUGUCAUGGUUCGAGUACCAUGAGUGGUAGCAGAUCGAGAGGUGAUGUCAUGGUUUGAGUACCAUGAUUGGUAGCAGAUCGAGAGGAGAUGUCAUGGUUCAAGCACCAUGAUUUGAGGCAGGUUGAGAAGAGAGGACAUGGUUCGAUUACCAUGAUAUGUGGCGGUUAGUGCUUCUGGUUUUACUGGUUAUUCCGCAGGGAUUAUCUACACCAUGGUCGGAUGUGAAAGAGUAUGUGUCACACCCUAAAACCGAGAACAGCAGAAACGAUUUGGGGCGGAGGACGUCAUGUACAAUAUCACAACAAUGAAUAGUAGUAAGAAAGAAACAACAUCAUCCAUUGCAUUAAUAAUAUAAUUUUAAUACAAGUGAUCUGAUAUGUCUAAAAGACACUAAGUAUAAAUCAAAGCGAAAGAUGAGUCUUGAACGAGCUCCAUCUUCUCUAAACCUUGCAUCGGUACCUGUCUACUGUUGACCUGAGGAUACAAGUUAUUUUGAAAGAGAGUAUCUACUUUAAAGCUGGUGAGAUCAUAAGUAUUUUAGUGUCUUAAUUUGUAAGAAUGUAUUUGUAAGUAUGAGUAUGUAAAAAUUUUGAAUAUCCUAGAAAACCCUAUGCUUCCUACUGAAAGUAGCCUUCUACCAAGGCAUCUAGUAUUUGACUGUUUCCCUUGUAAAAGUGUGUAUUUUCCCAAAUCUUACUAUCAUUAACCAAAAAUAUAGCUUCUACAUUACCAUGCAUUGUGUGACUGUUCAUGAAGUGAAGGUAAUGGGAAAAUGAAAUAGUACUAUAGUGUAGUAUGAAAUAACUACAACCGUACUAACUACCUUAAAUCUAUUGAAAUUUAAUGUAACAAGUGAUCAACCUAUAUCCUGCUACCGACUCUAGUAAAACAAUGAUGUUAGAUGCCAUAAGAAAUGACAUUUGGCACCCGUAGACUUGCAAGUCCCACUGUAGCGAGCAAAAAGGUGUAGGAUAGUCAAUCCAGUAUAGAUUGCCACACCCCAAAACCACGAACGGCAGAAACGUUCAGGGGUGGAGGACGUCAUGUACAGUAUCACAACAGUGUAAUAUAAUAAACAAGCAACAACCUCAAAACCUGGCCACCGUACCUGUCUACUGAUGACCUGAUAAUACAAGUUAUUUGAAAGCGAGUAUCAGCUUUAAAGCUGUUGAAUUCAUAAGUAAUUAAGUGUCAUUGUCUUGCUUAUGAAAAUCUGUUAUGAAGGCCAUGUAAACCUUUAAAUGAAAAAGUUGAUGUAAGUAUGAAAAACCCUAGAAAAUCCUUUAUUUUCUAUCAGUUUGAGAUGUAGUCUUCUACCAAGACAUGAAUGUUUUGUUCUGAGAAUGUAGUCUUCUACCAAGACCCGAAUGUUUUGUUAUGACAAUGUAGUCUUCUACCAAGACCCGAAUGUUUUGUUAUGACAAUGUAGUCUUCUACCAAGACCCGAAUGUUUUGUUAUGACAAUGUAGUCUUCUACCAAGACCCGAAUGUUUUGUUAUGACAAUGUAGUCUUCUACCAAGACCUGAAUGUUUUGUUUAGUAAAAUGAUAGUCUUUCCUUUCUAUUGACUAGUACUAAAAGUACUUAGUCUAACUCAUCGUUUAUGUGAAAGUAUCACAAAAUAAAGUAAACAGGAAAAAGUACUAAUGUAAGUGUUAUCCCGAGAUACUAGGGCUAACACGACGUAUCUAACUGUUAUCCCGAGGUACUAGGGCUAACACAACAUAUAUAACUUAAUGAACAUCUGAGGAUUGUCCAAUUGUCCUCUGUAGCAGCAGCAGGGCGAAGGAAGGGUUAGUCCCUGUAAAGGUACUCCUAGUAUAAGUAAUAACCAUAGACAUCCGUAGAUGUUCAUCACCCACUGUUGCUAACAGCUGGGUUCCGGAAUGGUUAGUCCCGUCCAUAUAUCCCGAGGUACUAGGGAUAGGGUCCCGACUAGAUAUCCCGAGGUACUAGGGAUAUGGUCCUGUCUAGAUAUCCCGAGGUACUAGGGAUAUGCAGGAAGAUUUACACAAAAUGUACUAAUAAAUCAUCCUCGCAAUUCGAGAUACAAUUAUUCAUGUUAAUAUACACAGGUAAGUGUACCUACGUAAAGGUACACAUGUGUUCAUGUAACAUGUAAGUAUAUGUAAACGUACUCAGGUAUCAUGUAAUCAAAUGUAAAUGUACUCAUGUAUCAGGUAAUGUACUGGUAUAGACUCAUGAAUGAACUGACUCUUGUGUGAUUCCUUGUAAUAGGAAUUAUGUUUGAUAUCUCCAAAUUAUCCUUAUGAUAAUUUACGGAAAGGUAAUUGGUUGUUCAAGUAGGUUUAUACACUCUUACUACUCAAGGGUGUGUGAAACUAAAUGAAAGCUGUAAACUAUAACAUCAAUACAUAUAUAAGAAUAUAAGUGUAUAUGCAUAGUUUAGUUCAAGAAUGUAAAAUGGUUUUGUAAGACAUCCUAUGGGUUUUGAAUAAUAAUUAACAAUGACUUGAUGUCAUUUUUAUAAACAUUUCAAAAGUAUAAGAUUUGAUAAAAACGCAUUUUUAAGAUUUAAAACCAUUUCAAGCAUCACAUUUUGUAGUAUGUGAAAUCUGUUAAAUGACAAACACAGUUAUAAAAUACAUAUCAAUGAUUUAAUAACAUGUUUGUUUCUACUUGUAUUCCCCCCUUUUAAAGCAUUUAAAAUCAUAUAAAACAUUGAUUAGGGGUAUGAACUCACCUGUAGUUGGUGAUUGGGAUGAACUAAACGGAAUAGGAUUGCUAGGUGUCAAGUGAGGUCUUAUAAACACUUUAUUUAAGUNAUAAGUGUUUUAAGCCCUAAUGAUCGCAUCAAAGCUAUUGUGGAACAAGGUACUUGUGUUUAGGGUUCCAAAGGACCCCAUAUAUGAGUUUACUCCUCAUAUACUAACACACAUGGAGUUUACGGUUGUAAACUCUUGAGUUUGCGGCCGUAAACUCCCAACCAUGGGUGUAUUGUGUGUUUUGAAGUCCCAAUUGAUUCCUAGAAUUAUUCCAACUUGGUGGUUAAGUCCUUGGAAGGGUUUAUGGCCUAGAAACACUCCCUAGAGGAGUUUAUGGCCCCAAGGCCAUUUCCUUUCUAGUUUACGGCCGUAAACUUCCUUGGAAUGGUGUUUUUUGUUGUUUUCAAGUCUCAUGCAUAUGAAGGAUAGGUUCUAAACAUUUGUUUAAAGCUAAUGUGGACCCUACGAACACUUUGGUGCCCUUGUUUGGUGUUUACGGCCUAGGAGCAUUACCAGGGCCAUAAAAUCACUUCAAGAGGUGAUUUUGAUGUGUUUUUGUCCUUCAAUUAAGUGGGAACAAUUCCUAGUAAAUGUCCAAUGCUUUAGGUGCCUUAAAAGCACCAUUUGGAGCUUGAAUUUGGAGUUUACGGCCUAAGAAACUCUUGGGCCGUGAACUCCGAAAAUUGGGUGGUUUUUGCUUGAUUUCAUGUCCCUAACACACUUAUAAAUGAGUCUAAGGCAGUAGCAUAACACAAGGGUCGGUCUAGGCUUCGUUUCGGGAGUUUAUCGCCCAAGAACACCUUGGGGAGCAAACUCCUAAAUCUAGUGAUUUAGCCUUCUAAAUCAUGUUAUAAACACAUAUAAAGCUUUAUAACACUACUAGAAAGAGGUACUCACGAUUUGGGAUAAAACCCCGAAGAUCCGUGAAAGAGAAAAUGGCUUUUCUCUAGUUGGAAAUGUGAAUAAUGAAUGAAUUUGGUUCAGAAUUCUAUUUAUAGUCCUGAGUUAUUUUUGGCAGAAAAUACUUUUAUUCCUGAAAUGAUCUCUAAUAUAAUAGAGUGUUGGAAUAACAGUGUUGCACAAAACCCUAGUGCACCCACUCUCCUGAUAUUUCCUGAAGUGUAAACCCUGAAUUACUCAAACUUACGCCAAAAGUCUGAAAAUUAACUGUGACUGCUAUAACUUCUAUUGAAGUGAUAUAGUUUGUACAGAAUGGAAAUUUCGGGUUGUCACAUCAUCCCCCCGUUAGAAGGAAUUUCGUCCCGAAAUUAGAAUUUAAGCAAUUAAGAAGUUACAAAUAACUAAGCGAAAAGGUGAGGGUAUUUCAGUUUCAUCUGAUCCUCACGUUCCCAAGUGAAUUCAGGUCCAUGCUUUGCGUUCUAGCGCACCUUCACUAUCGGGAUACGACUCUGCUUUGUUUGCUUGACCUCUCGGUCCAUGAUCUCUACUGGUUCCUCCACGAAGUUGAGGCUCUCGUUGAUCUCGAUCUCGUCGAGUGGAAUAACAAGAGUCUCGUCGGAUAGACACUUUUUCAAGUUUGACACGUGGAAGGUAGGAUGUACGUUACUGAGUUCUUGCGGUAGAUUGAGCUUGUAAGCCACAGGGCCGAUUCUCGCGAGAAUCUCGAAAGGCCCUAGGUAUCUUGGAUUGAGCUUCCCACGCUUCCCAAAGCAUAUUAAGCCCUUCUAGGGUGAGACCUUCAGUAGGACUCGGUCGCCCACCUAGAACUCCAAUGGUUUCCUAAGCUUGUCAGCGUAGCCUUUCUGUCGGUCUCUAGAGGCUUUCAACCGUUCGCGAAUUUGAACAAUCUUCUCUAUCAUUUCCCGAAUGAUCUACGGACCCGUGAGAGUGCUUUCGGGAACUCGUCCCUUAGCUAACUGGGUAUCACCCACCUCAGCCCAGCACAGAGGGGAUCUGCACUUUCGGCCAUAGAGGGCCUCGAAUGGAGCUGCCUUUAUGCUCGUGUGAUAACUGUUGUUGUAGGAAAAUUCGACAAGGGGUAAAUGGGUUUCCCAAGCUUUUCCAAAGUCAAUCACACAGGCACGCAACAUAUCUUCUAUGGUUUGGAUAGUUCUCUGACUUUGCCCGUCGGUCUGUGGAUGGUAGGUUGCACUCAUGUCCAGCCUAGUUCCUAAGGACUUUGUAAUGACUGCCAGAACCUCGAAGUGAAUCUACUAUCUCUGUCUGAGAUCAUAGAUAAAGGAACACCGUGCAGCCUUACGAUCUCCCUAAUGUACAUUCUGGUAAGUUUCUCCAUCUUGUCUGUUUCUUUGAUUGGCAAGAAGUGUGCAGACUUGGUCAGUCUAUCGACGAUGACCCAUAUGGAAUCAAGUCCACCCGUCAUCUUGGGCAACUUGGUUAUGAAGUCCAUAGUGAUCCGCUCCCACUUCCAUUCUGGUAUCUCCGGUUGUUGUAGAAGACCGGAGGGUUUCUGGUAUUCGACCUUGACCUUUGCGCAAGUAAGGCAUUUACUCACAAAUGUAGCAAUAUCUGCUUUCAUGUUAGGCCACCAGUAUAACUUUUUAAGAUCCAUAUACAUCUUAUCUGAACCCGGGUCGACAGAAUAAUGAGUGUUGUGAGCUUCAGUCAUGACCAAGUCUCUGAAGCCACCGUGUUUCGGCAUCCAGAUCCGAUCCAUGAGGUAUAAGGCUCCGCCACCCUUGACUUCUAAGUUCUUAUCCAUCCCUCUAAGGGAUUCACCCUCCACGUUUUCAGGUUUCAAAGCGUCGAGCUGAGCCUCCUUUAUUUGUGUGGACAAGUGUGAAUGGAUAGUUAGAGUCAAAGAUUUGACUCUACGACCAGUAUAUUCUUUCCGACUUAGGGCGUCGGCUACUACAUUGGCUUUACCCGGAUGAUAACGAAUUUCGCACUCGUAAUCACUGAGUAGCUCGACCCACCGUCGUUGUCUCAUGUUGAGCUCUUUCUGGUCGAAAAUGUGUUGUAGACUCUUAUGGUCUAUAAAGAUCGUGCUUUUUGUACCGUACAUGUAAUGUCGCCAGAUCUUCAGAGCAAAUACAACUGCUCCUAGUUCAAGAUCGUGGUUUGUGUAGUUAACCUCAUGUGUCUUCAGCUGUCUCGAGGCAUAGGCUAUGACUUUACCUCGCUGCAUCGAUGCGUCGCAAUAGACUACGAAGUCUUCUAUCCCUUCGGGGAGGAACAGUAUUGGUGCGGUGUACAAGGCUCGUUUGAGCGUUUGGAACGCUCUUUCUUGUUUCUCUUCCCAGUCAAAGGCUACGCCCUUCUGGGUCAGUGUUGUAAGAGGUUUCGCUAUGCUGAAGAUGUUCUGAAUGAACCUGCGAUAGUAGCCAGCGAGACCUAGAAAUUAACGAAUUUCGGUAGGUGUCUUCGGUGCUGACAAGUUCUCAAUGACUUUGAUUUUGGAGGGGUCCAAGUGUAUUCCCUCUUCGCUAACAACAUGGCCCAAAAAUUCGACUCAUCGAAUCCAAACUUCACAUUUGGCGAACUUUGCGUAGAGCGUCUCCGAUCGCAGUGUUUCUAAGAUUUUACGGAGAUGUUGGCUAUGUUCCUCCUUACUUCGAGAGUAGAUGAGUAUGUCAUCAAUGAAGACGAUGACGAACUGAUCCAAGUAAGGACGACACACCCUAUUCAUCUGAUCCAUGAAUACUGCGGGCACGUUAGUUAAUCCGAAUGGCAUCACUACAAACUCGUAGUGCCCGUAACGAGUUCGGAAGGCUGUCUUGGGAACAUCCUCCUCUAACACUCGUAGUUGGUGAUAUCCGGAUCGCAGAUCUAUCUUUGAGAAGUAGUUGGCUCCUUGAAGUUGAUCAAAUAAAUCCUCAAUGUGGGGCAAGGGAUAACGAUUUUUAAUUGUAUGUUUGUUGAGUUCUCUAUAGUCGAUGCACAUGGGAAACGAUCCAUCUUUCUUCUUGACGAACAAGACCGGUGCUCCCCAGGGUGAGAAGCUUGGUCGAAUGAAUCCUUUCUUGAGAAGUUCGUUAAGUUGACUGGAACGUUCCUGCAUUUCAGCCGGUGCCAGACGAUAAGGAGAUUUGGCUACGGGGGUAGCCCCUGUCACUAAGUCGAUUCUAAACUCAGCUUGGCGUUGCGGUGGUAAACCGGGAAGUUCUUCUGGGAAUAUGUCGGGGAAGUCACGUACUUCUGGGAUGUUCUGAAUGUUUUUCGUUUCUUGACUUGUAUCAACGACAUGUGCGAGGAAUGGAUGGUACUCCUUUCGCAAUCAUUUCUGGGCUUGAAUGCACGAAAUGAUGCGAAGGCUCGUACUUGGUUUGUCGCCGUAGAUAACUAAGGUUUCGUUGUUAGGAAGGUUAAGACGAACUGCUUUUUCGAAGCACAUAAUGUCGGCACGAAGAAGACUCAACCAAUCCAUACCGAUGAUAACGUCGAAACAUUUAAUUGGGACUGGCAUGAGAUCUAUCUUGAAAGUAUGGCCAUCUAAAGUUAAGGUACAACCUACGUAUAUGCAGUUAGUACUCUCCGUUUUCCCGUUAGCCAUUUCUACAGUGAAUGGAUUAUCUAAAACACAGUGUUUUUUUUAAGUAGGUGUGCAAAUUUGUGACUUACAAAACUUUUCUCGGCUCCACUAUCGAAAAGUAUGAAAGCAUAUGAGUUAUCGAGGAGAAACGUACCAGUAACUAUCGUAGGAUCAGCUACCGCUUCCUCAUGGCCUAGGGCCAUAACUCUUCUUACUCCGCCAUCCAUCCCUGCUUUAGGGCAGUUCCUCUUGUAGUGACCCACCUCGCCACAACCGUAGCAAGUGUGGCCCAUACCGACAUUAGGAACCAGGGCGGCUUGAGCCGUUGGAGCCUUACAGUAACGGGCAGUGUGCCCCUUCCUGUUACAGUUAGAGCAGAACAUCUCCUUGCAAGGUCCGUGGUGGUGGAAGCUUCAUUUGUUGCACUUCGGAAGAGUUCCAACAUAAGUUUUCGCUGGUAAGGGGUUCGCAGGGACAACAGGAGUCACUGUGGCAGCAUUGAUCGCCAGAAGUUGUUGUUUAUUGGAGGAUCCUUGCGAAGCCCCUCUUUUCCUCUUAUUCCACCCCUUCUUGUUGUAGUCGGGGUUGGACUUUUGUGGUACGGUUGUAGGGAUUGCUGGGUUCUGAGGUUUCCGGUGAUCGAUGAGAGAUUGUGCCAGUUCCUUGGUGCUAUCGAAGGUAAUAGGCCUGGAAGCGAUCACACUUGACUGGAUCUGGGGCGACAGUCCCCGGAUAUACCUCUCUAUCUUUUUGCUCUGGAGAGCAACCAUGCCAGGGAAUAAGUUUGCCAUAUCACAGAACCUAUUUGUGUAGGUCGUGAUGUCGGAUCCAACCAUUUGUAGACCCCAUAAUUCUUCCUCGAGUUUUUGUAUUUCAUCUCAAGGACAGUAGUCUUUCAUCAGCAUGUCCUUUAACUUUUCCCAGCUGAUGGAAUACACCACCACCAAAGUCAGAUAGUUAACAUGGCUGUUCCACCAUGUUAGUGCUCUGUCAGAGAAGGUACAAGCUGCAAACUUGACCUGGCUGCCUUCCUGGCAAGCACAGAUUUCAAAGACGGAUUCCAUCUUUUCAAUCCAUUGUCUCAAAACCAUAACACCCCCAGUUCCAUUGAAGCUGCGGGGUUUGGCGUUUGUGAGGUCCUUGUAGGUGCAUUCUCGAGGGUGUCCAUGUCUUUCACCGUGGUUCGAGGGAGGUGCACCUGUUCCUGAUCCACUAGGGGCAGGAGCGUUGAUUGCUGACACAGCAGCUGCAACGGCUGCUAUGAAAGCUGCCUGGAACAUGUUGGCAUCGAAAGGAUUUGGUGGUUGAAGAGGUUCAGGUGGUGGUGGAGGAGGUGGUAUCGGUGUUUCGUUGUUUGUUACGCCUCGGAUUCCUGCAUGGCGGCAUCUUUAACUGUACGUUUAAAAGAUGACGACAUGGAUAAGAAUAAAUGAUUAAUGAAUGUGUCUCAUGGACUAACUCCCCAUAGCCCAACAACAGAAGGAAUAGUAUGACUAAAUGAAGAUCGCAGCAUUUAGAUAAUGAUUUCCAUAAGAUUAGAUAUCUGUCAAUAAUACUGGGAUUACAGAUGUAACAAGUUCGGGAAAAAUGGCCUAGAAGUAGGCCUUACAUAAAACAAGAUGGAAAAUUUUGACAGAACUAAGAUUAGAUCAAGACCUAACAGGUCUAAGAGUUAUAAAGACAGGAAAUUAGAACAAAGUUUUACAUAGACUAGGUUAUAUCCAAAAGAUGAGUUGACGAGAUUCUAUCGGCGACGAGAGCUUCUUGCAUGAGUCCUCGAUCCCGACAGUAGACGUUCAAUGUCCCUUAUACGCCUGUCAGCUCUCACUUGCUGAGCUCGAAGUUCCCUAACUUCGGCUUGAGUUUCAGCAAGUUCCCUCUACAGAUUUGCAUUGCGGACCAGUGUCCUUUCAUGAGCAGACUCUAUUUGGCGAAUGUGGAUAGUGUUAAUACCAGAGUUGGCAUCAACCUCCAAGACUUGAAUGAUAGUGGCUUUUGCCAUUAUCGUGUUUUGAGAAAUCCUACGCAUCAUGAUUGGUAGGACUCUAUCAACAGAACCUCCUUCAGUGAGGUUGUAGAAACUUCGGUCUCCAUUGUAGGGAAUGGGCUGACCCUGUUCAUGACUCCAUGUAAUCAAGUCAAUGGCCCACAGAGGUGUGGGUCCUUGAAAUGCGAGACGGGGGUUCAGGUUUGGGUUUUGAGCAUUUGGGGGUAGGUUGUUGACUUCUGGCUCCGAGUCAGAACUAUUGGACAAACCCUCAGCAUGGUGAUCAUCCAAAGGGAUUGGGUGAUCAUUUUCUGGUUCUGCCUCUAGCCAACCAACAUUGCUUUGGUUCGGGAAUUACGGAUCAUCGUGGUGAAAUCCAGCCAUUUUAAUCUAUGUGAGAAAAGGGAUAUAAGAAAUAGCUAAAUAGACGAACUGACUAAGAUAAUUACAGUAAGACCAAAUACCCCUAUGGUAUUUCUUUAUGGUUGUGUUGGUAAGUUUUUAGACUUGUUGCCACAUCACAACCAUUCUUGGGCAUAUGCUAAUCACUCCUCGGACCAGCAUAGUUGAUCAGGCUAUGCCAUUCCCAAGACUGACCAUAUAUCCCCAGGCUUACUUGUGAUAUUCAGCAAUCGUAAUACUUUUGUUCUUGUCAUUGUGACACUGAUUUUAGUAUGAACGCAGGCACGUAUACUUUGUUAAAUAUUUUAUUAUUUAAAAGUAUAACUCUUAGACAGAGUGUUUUAAUCCCGAUGUAUUUAUAGUUAGUAUAUCUUUUAUGGGUUGAUAUACUUUAUUCACUAUCAACAAUGCUUAGAUACCAAUCUGUCACACCCCAAAACCACGAACGGCGGAAACGUUCAGGGGUGGAGGACGUCAUGUACAGUAUCACAACAGUGUAAUAUAAUAAACAAGCAACAGCAUCAUCCAUUGCAUUAUAAGUAAAGUUUAAAUACAUGUGUUCUUUCAAUGUAAUAAGAAACCAAAAAUAUACAACCAAAAUAAAAGACGAGACUUGUCUGCUCUGUCUUCUCAAAACCUGGCCACCAUACCUGUCUACUAAUUGUUGGAUAAGGUGUCUAAGUCCAUAACUAUUUCGGGCUUGUACUUGACCCGACCCGGCAUGGUCCAUUUGGGUUGCAUGGCACCAUGCAAUUGGAUAGACUAAAUGAGAGAAAUAACACUUGGAGAUUAUUAAUAUAUUAUAAGUUCUAAUAUAUUAAUAAUAUUAUUUAAUUAGUUGAUCAAAGAAUUAAUUUGGAAUUAAUUAAGUGAUCAAAGGAUAACUAAUUAAAUAUAUGGGUUGAUUAUGUAAAUCAUCCAUAUCUUGUAUAGUGGGCUAAGAGGCUCCAUGGAUUAUCAAGUUGGGUUCUACCCAUAGGAUGCUCCAUGGAUGCUCCAUGGGAGUUACAAACCCAUGGGUCAUGGAAAUGAAGAGUCAUGACACAUUAGGGUUUACAUGGUGUAACCCUAGAUGUGCCAACACUAUAUAAGAGUCCCAUUCUCCACAAAAUUGGCUACACAAGUUGAACACUAAGAAACUAGAGGGCUUGGCCGAUUUUGAGAAGUGUGUGUUAUCUCAAGAGUCUUUCCAAGAGCAUUUGGUGUUGUGUGAAGCAUUUGAGGCAUCACACUUGGGGUGCUAGGCUCACAAGGUUUCAAGGAACACAAGCAACAACAAGGUAAGUUAUUCUAUCUAUGAUUCAAGUUAAAAUUGUUCCCCAUGUAUGCUAGAUAGGAAUAUAACCUUGGAAUUCAACUUUGCAUGAUAAUUAGACAAACAUAGAUCCAAGGUUAUUAGGGUUGCAUGUACACUUAGGAAGUGUUAGAAUGCUCAAAACCCAUCAGUGGUAUCAGAGCCUAGGCUUGUUUGUUUGUUAUUUGUGCUUAAAAGUUGAAGAAAGUCGAAAAUUCUGCUGUCUGACUGAUGGACUCGGCGAGUCCAUGGGGAGGACUCGUCGAGUUCAUGUGUAUCUUCAACCUACUCGGCGAGUAGGUUUAUGCACUCGGCGAGUAGGGUCGACAGAGUGCAGAAUUUCGACUUGAGUUGCUGGAAAUGGAUUAGAAUCAUUACCCUAAAAUGUUUUGGUACUUGAAAACUUAUUUUAGAAGGUGUAAUGUCUUUUCUAACUCAUUUACAACAACUAGUUAUCAAAAUUACAAAGAUUAAAUGUGAUUUUGAUUCUUGAAAGUGUUCAUAUUCAUAUUCUUGUUCUUAUGAUGUUUAGAUGAUCAUAGGAAUUAUUUGUAACCUAUGUGGUAGAUUAAUUCAUGAUCAUAAUGUGUUUUAAUGGAGUCCAUAACUUGUCCUCAAGUUAUGGAAAACCAAAAGUCUCUUGGAUUAAAAACCAUUAAAAGAACACAAGAGUUAGGAAAAAUGAAAAGUCCUCAUUUUAUUACUCUAUUAAACUCAUAAGUUACAAGAAAUGAAAAGUUUUGAAAGUUUACAAAACUUGCCCUCAAGUUUUGGAACAAGUAAAGUUAAGUUAAAACUUUAGUUCCAACCCCUAGAAUUUUAAAAGUUAAAAUUCAACCCUUAUACUUAUAUUAUUAUGAUUUAAUAAUUAUAUAUAUAUGUAUAAGAACAAAGUCGUCUUACCGCUAGUACGCCUCAUUCACGAAGCCGGUCUAUAAGGUGGGUAUAAGGUUGUUGCCUAUAAAAUGGUGACUUAAUGGGUGUCCACUCUCACCCACCGCUUGCUUGAUCGGUGGAGGGUCGUUAGCCGAACGGGUAAGACAAGGACUUAUUAAUUCUCAUUCAAAGUAUGAUGAAUAUUAUAAAGUAACUAAAUGUUUUAUUAAAUUCCCAAUCUUAGUUACUUUAGGAAAAAUGUGAAUAAGGUGCUAUUCCAUGAAAUUACACUUUACACUUUGAUUAAGUCGUUGGUGGAGCGUGUGUGGUUAACCGGCACACUAACUUGGACUUAACAAGGUAGGUAAAGGGUGACUUAGGGUUUAUUAUAGUAUCGAUGGAGCGUGUGUGGUUAACCGGCACAUCGAUUGAGUGAUAAACUUUAAGGGUACCAAGUGAUUUGCAUGGUUACUUCACACCUCGUUUUGUGAUCCUCGGUAUCCCAGUCACAAAACUUGGAGGGCACACUCGAGAUUGAAACAUGCCUUUGAAAAGUUCAUUGAAUCUCAAAGAAUCUAGGAAUUUCUAAGAACCAUUCAAAAACCUAAUACUAAAAUAUUGCGGUUUUCGUGGUGGAAAUUGGUGAAUCGUCAUUCACCUACCUUUCAAAUAUGAUAUAGCUUAGAUUACGGCAUACCUCUUCUAAGUUAUAUUAUAUUGUGAUUGGAUCCUAGCCUUAAUAUUACAUUUGGGUGUUUUAUUAAGGACUCUCUUAUAUCUAAACUAAUCUUGUCCUCUUUCCUUCAGAUGUCUUUCAACAAUGCUUCUGGCUCUAAUCCUAAUGGCUCCUUUACCCUUAUGAACUUGUGUGGGAAAGUCACCUUUGAUGGAUCCAACUUCAAUGAGUGGAUCAGAAACAUCAGGAUGAUUACCCGCUACGAGGACAAAGAAUAUGUCCUUGACAAGGAGCUUAAGGAGAUUGAUGAGUCCACUGCAACUCCUCAGGAGAUCGCUGAAUUUCGGGCACAUGAAAGGGAUGCUACGAAAGUGGCUUGCAUCAUGAUGGCCACGAUGACAGCGGAACUCCAAAAGUCUUAUGAGGAUUUCUACCCUUAUGACAUGCACCAAGAUUUGAUGGAAAGAUACCAUCAAAGUGCAAGACAAGAGAGGUAUGAAAUCAUCUGCUCCAUGAUAACAACCAUGAUGAAGGACGGGGAAUCCGUCACGAGCCACAUGCAGAAAAUGCAAAGGUAUGUGGAUCGUUUGCUGAAGCUUAAUGUGAACUUCCCGGAGGAUCUUGCAAUAGAUAUUAUUUUGCAUUCCUUACCAUCGUGCUAUGAUCAAUUCCGCAUGACAUAUCACAUGAACAAGGAAGAAGUCACCCUCAGCAAACUUCAGGGACUUCUCAAGACCGCAGAAACAGGUCUUAAGGGGAAGUCGGUUGCUAUCACUCCUACUCAAAACUCUACUCCGGUUUUGGCAAUCGGGAAAAGUCGAGGGAGGAAGAGAAAGAGCUCUUCUAAGGGUACCAAGGCUCGGACCCUUGAUGGCUCUUCUUCAAGUGGAACCAAGAAAGGUUUCGUUACUCCUUCUUCUGACCCAAAAGAGGCUGAAUGCUUCUAUUGCCAUGAAAAAGCUCAUUGGAAGCGGAACUGCCCAAAAUACCAGCAAGAUGUGAAGGAUGGGAAAGUUAAACCCAACCAUGCAGGUAUUUACACUAUCAUUUCUAAUAACUCACCCCAUUCUAAUUCUUGGGUCCUUGAUACCGGGUGUGGUAUUCACAUUUGUUGUGACUUGCAGGGACUAAGAAGAAGUGAGGAUGUGGAGCAAGGAAGGAUAAACUUGAUCAUGGGGAAUAGGAAAGCUAUACCUGUUACCAAGAUUGGAGUUUAUACUUUAUCGCUAAGUAGUGGGUUUAGUUUAGAUUUGAAUAAGUGUUGUUAUUCGCCAGGAAUGGCAAGAAAUAUUAUUUCCUUUCAUGCUUUGUACAAACAAGGGUUUACCUUUUCAUUUAAUAAUGAAGUUGGUUCUAUAGAUGUUUUCUAUAAUAAUGUCUUUUAUUUUAAAGCAUUACCUUGUGAUGGUGUGUAUGAAGCUGUAUCUGUUGUAGAUAACUUGGGAAAUAAUGUUUUGUGUAUUGAUUCUACUAAUAAUAACUUGGAUAAAGCAUCUUUAUGGCAUUGUCGUCUUGGACAUAUAAGCAAGAAACGCAUAGGCCAACUCCAAAAGGAUGGAGUCUUGGAGUCGUUUGACCUAAAGUCAGAUGAUAGUUGCGAAUCAUGCUUACUUGGAAAAAUGACAAAGUCACCCUUCACAGGUUCGUGUGAGAGGGGUGAAGGUUUGUUGGACCUUAUACACACGGAUGUGUGUGGACCAUUCAAACAUGCCACAAGGGAUGCUAAUCGUUAUUAUUUGACUUUUACUGAUGAUUAUAGUAGAUAUGGAUAUGUCUACUUGAUCAAGCAUAAGUCAGAGACUUUCGAGAGGUUUAAGGAAUUUAAACAGGAAGUCGAGAAUCAAUUGGGCAGGAACAUUAAGAUGCUUCGAUCCGAUCGUGGUGGUGAGUAUCUUAGUUCAGAGUUCCUCGACUAUCUAAGGGAAUGUGGGAUAGUCUCACAAUUGACACCUCCCAGGACACCACAGUUGAAUGGUGUGGCUGAGAGGCGUAAUCGAACCUUGUUAGAUAUGGUUCGUUCCAUGAUGAGUCGAGCUACGCUACCAAUCUCAUUCUGGGGGUAUGCCUUAGAGACUGCCGCCCAUAUUCUUAAUCUAGUCCCUACAAAGAAAGUUGCCAAAACUCCUCACGAGAUGUGGACUGGUAAAGUACCUAAACUAGACCACAUCAAGAUUUGGGGUUGCGAGGCUUUCGUGAGACGCGAGACUCAUGAUAAGCUCGAACCUCGAAGCGAGAGGUGUAUUUUCAUCGGUUACCCACAGCGAUCCUUUGGUUACCUCUUCUACAGACCUAGUGACAAUGUGGUCUUUGUAGCAAGAAGAGGAGUCUUUCGAGAAAGAGAGUUUAUAAGCCAAGGAGACAGUGGGAGGCAAAUUGAUCUUGAAGAAAUUCAAGAAUCAAGCGGUGAAGGAACUUCAAACUCUAGCCCUCAACUUGAGGAGGAAACUCCUGUUGAGCCAAUUGACAAAUCUGUACCUCUGAGACGUUCCACGAGAGUUAGGAGUGCACCUGAGCAUUACUAUGGAUUCCAUAUUACUGCAGAAGGUGAGACACUUAUUAGUGAUGAGACACUAGUAAGUCAAGAUGACCCUAACAGCUACGAGGAAGCCAUGGCAGGCCCCGAGUCUGCUAAAUGGAAAGAGGCUAUGGAUAGCGAGAUACAAUCCAUGUAUGACAAUCAAGUUUGGAACUUGGUUGAAAAUGUACCAGGUCGUAAGACAGUAGGGUGCAAAUGGGUCUUCAAGAAGAAGACCGACAUGGAUGGUAAAGUACACACUUAUAAGGCUAGACUGGUUGCAAAGGGCUUCUCUCAAAUUCCUGGAGUGGAUUAUGAUGAGACCUUUUCUCCGGUAGCCAAGAUUAAGUCUAUUCGGGUUCUGUUAGCCAUAGCUGCAUUUCAUGACUAUGAAAUAUGGCAGAUGGAUGUCAAAACCGCUUUCCUUAAUGGAAAGUUGGCUGAAGAUGUUUACAUGAGUCAGCCAGAGGGUUUUGUCAGCAACGAGUACCCUAAUAGAGUGUGUAAGCUUGAGAAAUCCAUUUAUGGAUUGAAGCAAGCACCUCGCAGAUGGAAUCUUUGCUUUGAUGAAAAGGUCAAGGAAUUUGGCUUUUCUAGGAGUGAAGAUGAAUCUUGUGUGUAUGUCAAGGCUAGUGGGAGUAUAGUUAGCUUUUUGGUAUUGUAUGUGGAUGACAUACUACUCAUAGGAAACGACAUUCCAACCCUGCAGGAAGUAAAGUCCUGGCUUGGGAAGUGUUUCGCUAUGAAGGACCUUGGUGAAGCUGCCUAUAUUCUAGGGAUAAGAAUCUUGAGAGAUCGGAGUAAAAGACUAAUUGGACUUAGUCAGAGUACCUACUUGGAUAAGGUGCUGAAGAGAUUCAGCAUGCAGGAUUCCAAGAAAGGAGAGUUACCCAUCCAGAGUAACACCAGAUUGAGUAAGACACAAAGCCCUAGCACUGAGGCUGAGAUAGCAGAAAUGAGUCGAACACCUUACGCUUCGGCUGUAGGAUCGAUCAUGUAUGCUAUGACGUGUACUCGACCCGAUGUAGCUUUUGCCUUGAGCAUGGUUAGCAGGUAUCAGGCGAACCCUGGCAAGGCACACUGGACUGCGGUAAAGAAUAUCCUCAAGUACCUACGGAGGACUAAGGACUGGGUCCUUACCCUCGGUGGGAGUGAUGACUUGAGAGUUGUAGGGUAUAGUGAUGCUAGCUUCCAGACUGAUAGGGAUAAUUUCCGCUCUCAGUCGGGCUGGGUCUUUACCCUAAACGGAGGAGCAAUUUCUUGGAAGAGUUCCAAGCAAGAGACAGUGGCAGAUUCUACUUGUGAAUCAGAGUAUAUUGCAGCUAGUGAAGCAGCAAAGGAGGCGAUAUGGCUGAAGAACUUCAUUGGAGACCUUGGAGUUGUACCAGCUAUUAAAGAGCCAAUGGAAAUUUUCUGUGAUAGUGAAAGUGCUGUUGCCUUAGCCAAGGAACCAAGGGAUCAUGGGAGAUCCAGACACAUCGACAGAAAAUACCAUUUCAUUAGACAUCGGAUCGAAGAAGGACUCCUCGUGGCAAAGAGGGUAUCAUCGGAUGAGAACCCAGCAGAUCCCCUCACGAAGGGACUGAGUAGGGUUAAGCAUCUCCAGCAUGCUCGGAGCAUAGGGCUGAAGGAUGAUAUAAGUUUUAGUAGUUAGAUAACCCAGAAAUUUGUAAAGUGUAAUUGACAUUUGAUGAUGAAUAAAAGGUGUUUUAUUUAUGAGUAAAGUGUUGCUAUCUCUUGUCGAUCGUUUACUAUAUUUCUUUUGCAUGUUUUGACUUCCAGAAUAAUUUUGUUUGGUAUAACAUAUUAUUCAAACCUCCACAGUCGGUCAUAUGUUGGAAGUAGAUAUGAAUCAAGACUGUCAUGUUUGGUUGUAGAGGUCUUGGACAAGGCUACAACAAUCAUGAGUGCUCAUAAGUUCUGAGCAUUGGACUCAACCCACGCUCACUGGAAUCACUUCAUGGAAUUCUAUCUCGAGUGAUCGUGAGACGGUAAUAUCAUAUAAGUCUUCAAACCUAGAGAUAUGAUUUGUUACUUACAAGUUGGUUAUGCAUUGACUGUACGAAACCGCAUUGGUAACUCGAUGUUAUAAAACGUACUUUUGUGUGUAAUUCAAUGAGUGGUAGAACAAACAUAUGAGUCGAAGUUUAUCUGUUCCUUCUUGGAUUAGAAGCUGAUAUCUGGGCCCCUCGAUGAUUUUGUUUUGACCCAUGUACCGGGCCCGGUCAGAACUAAGUUGAUGUGUUCAAUUAAGUUCUAUGUCAAACAAAUCGGAAAUCGGGAAACAAAUGCUGGACAAUAAGCAAGACAAUGUUCCAUGUAUUUGUCCGGCUGAUAUCUAGAACGGAGGAUUAUAUGAUCACUUAUCUUAAAUGGCGUACCAUCAUCUUCUCAGUUCCGAGAGACCUUGAAAGAGCUACGAUUGCCGGUCGGUUCCUGAAGUACUAGAGAUAUAGUUAUUAGACUUAUCCAAGUGGGAGACUGUUGGAUAAGGUGUCUAAGUCCAUAACUAUUUCGGGCUUGUACUUGACCCGACCCGGCAUGGUCCAUUUGGGUUGCAUGGCACCAUGCAAUUGGAUAGACUAAAUGAGAGAAAUAACACUUGGAGAUUAUUAAUAUAUUAUAAGUUCUAAUAUAUUAAUAAUAUUAUUUGAUUAGUUGAUCAAAGAAUUAAUUUGGAAUUAAUUAAGUGAUCAAAGGAUAACUAAUUAAAUAUAUGGGUUGAUUAUGUAAAUCAUCCAUAUCUUGUAUAGUGGGCUAAGAGGCUCCAUGGAUUAUCAAGUUGGGUUCUACCCAUAGGAUGCUCCAUGGAUGCUCCAUGGGAGUUACAAACCCAUGGGUCAUGGAAAUGAAGAGUCAUGACACAUUAGGGUUUACAUGGUGUAACCCUAGAUGUGCCAACACUAUAUAAAGAUCCCAUUCUCCACCAAAAUCGGCUAGACAUAAGAAACUAGAGGGCUUGGCCGAUUUUGAGAAGUGUGUGUUAUCUCAAGAGUCUUUCCAAGAGCAUUUGGUGUUGUGUGAAGCAUUUGAGGCAUCACACUUGGGGUGCUAGGCUCACAAGGUUUCAAGGAACACAAGCAACAACAAGGUAAGUUAUUCUAUCUAUGAUUCAAGUUAAAAUUGUUCCCCAUGUAUGCUAGAUAGGAAUAUAACCUUGGAAUUCAACUUUGCAUGAUAAUUAGACAAACAUAGAUCCAAGGUUAUUAGGGUUGCAUGUACACUUAGGAAGUGUUAGAAUGCUCAAAACCCAUCACUAAUGACCUGAGAAUACAAGUUAUUUUGAAAGCGAGUAUCAACUUUAAAGCUGGUGAAUUCAUAAGUAAUUAAGUGUCAUUGUCUUGCUUAUGAAAAUCUAUUAUGAAGGCCAUGUAAACCUUUAAAUGAAAAAGUUGAUGUAAGUAUGAAAAACCCUAGAAAAUCCCUUAUUUUCUAUCAGUUUGAGAUGUAGUCUUCUACCAAGACCCGAAUGUUUUGUUAUGACAAUGUAGUCUUCUACCAAGACCCGAAUGUUUUGUUAUGACAAUGUAGUCUUCUACCAAGACCCGAAUGUUUUGUUAUGACAAUGUAGUCUUCUACCAAGACCCGAAUGUUUUGUUUAGUAAAAUGAUAGUCUUUCCUUUCUAUUGGCUAGUACUAAAAGUACUUAGUCUAACUCAUCGUUUAUGUGAAAGUAUCACAAAAUAAAGUAAACAGGAAAAAGUACUAAUGUAAGUGUUAUCCCGAGAUACUAUGGCUAACACGACGUAUGUAACUGUUAUCCUGAGGUACUAGGGCUAACACAACAUAUAUAACCUAAUGAACUUCUAAGGAUUAUCCAAUUGUCCUCUGUAGCAGCAGUAGGGCGGAGGAAGGGUUAGUCCCUGUAAAGGUACUCCUAGUAUAAGUAAUAACCAUAGACAUCCGUAGAUGUUCAUCACCCACUGUUGCUAACAGCUAGGUUCCGGAAUGGUUAGUCCCGUCCAUCUAUCCCAAGGUACUGGGGAUAAGGUCCCGACUAGAUAUCCCGAGGUACUAGGGAUAUGGUCCUGUAUAGAUAUCCCGAGGUACUAGGGAUAUGUAGGAAGAUUUACACACACGAUACUAAUAAAUCAUCCUCGCAAUUCGAGAUACACGUAUUCAUGUUAAUAUACACAGGUAAGUGUACCUACGUAAAGGUACUCAUGUAAUGUGCUCAUGUAACAUGUAAGUAUAUGUAAACGUACUCAGGUAUCAUGUAAUCAAAUGUAAAUGUACUCAUGUAUCAGGUAAUGUACUGGUAUAGACUCAUGAAUGAACUGACUCUUGUAUGGUUCCUUGUAAUAGGAAUUAUGUUUGAUAUCUCCAAAUUAUCCCUAUGAUAAUUUACUGAAAGGUAAUUGGUUGUUCAAGUAGGUUUAUACACUCUUACUACUCAAGGGUUUGAGAAACUAAAUAAAAGUUGUAAACUAUAACAUCAAUAAAUAUAUAAGAAUAUAAGUGUAUAUGCAUAGUUUAGUUCAAGAAUGUAAAAUGGUUUUGUAAGACAUCCUAUGGGUUUUGAAUAAUAAUUAACAAUGACUUGAUGUCAUUUUUAUAAACAUUUCAAAAGUAAAACAUUUGAUAACAAUCCCUAAUCAAUGAUUUAAUAACAUGUUUGUUUCUACUUGUAUUCCCCCCUUUUAAAGGAUUUAAAAUCAUUUAAAACAUUGAUUAGGGGUAUGAACUCACCUGUAGUUGGUGAUUGGGAUGAACUGAAAGGUAUAGGAUUGCUAGGUGUCAAGUGAGGACUUGUACACACACUACGAUCCUAAUGAACAUAUAAUCACACAUAUAUGCACUCAAUUAGUCUCAAAUUACUAAUUGAUAAUGUUAAGACAUCCUAGACAUAAUAAACACUUUAUAUAAGUGUUUUAAGCCCUAAGGAUUGCAUCUAAGCUAUUGUGGGACAAGGCACUUGUGUUUAGGGUUCCAAAGGACCCCAUAUAUGAGUUUACUCCUCAUACACUAACACACAUGGAGUUUACGGUUGUAAACUCUUGAGUUUAUGGCCGUAAACUCCAAACCAUGGGGGUAUUGUGUGUUUUGAAGUCCCAAUUGAUUCCUAGAAUUAUUCCAACUUGGUGGUUAAGUCCUUGGAAGCGUUUAAGGCCUAGAAACACUCCCUAGAGGAGCUUACGGCCCCAAGGCCAUUUCCUUUGGAGUUUACGGCCGUAAACUCCCUUGGAAUGGUGUUUUUUGUUGUUUUCAAGUCUCUUGCAUAUGAAGGAUAGGUUCUAAACAUUUGUUUAAAGCUAAUGAGGACCCUAGGCACACUUUGGUGCCCUUGUUUGUUGUUUACGGCCUAGGAGCAUUACCAGGGCCGUAAAGUCACUUGAAGAGGUGAUUUUGAUGUGUUUUUGUCCUUCAAUUAAGUGGGAACAAUUCCUAGUAAAUGUCCAAUGCUUUAGGUGCCUUAAAAGCACCAUUUGGAGCUUGAAUUUGGAGUUUACGGCCUAAGAAACUGUUGGGCCGUGAACUCCCAAAACUGGGUGGUUUUUGCUUGAUUUCAUGUCCCUAACACACUUAUAAAUGAGUCUAAGGCAGUAGCAUAACAGAAGGGUCGGUCUAGGCUUCGUUUCGGGAGUUUACCGCCCAAGAACACCUUGGGGAGCAAACUCCUAAAUCUAGUGAUUUAGCCUUCUAAAUCAUGUUAUAAAUACAUAUAAAGCUUUCUAACACUACUAGAAAGAGGUACUCACGAUUUUGGAUAAAAACCCGAAGAUCCGUGAGAGAGAAAAUGGCUUUUCUCUAGUUGGAAAUGUGAAUAAUGAAUGAAUUUGGUUCAGAAUUCUAUUUAUAGUCCUGAGAUAUUUUUGGCAAAAAAUAUUUUUAUUCCUGAAAUGAUCUCUAAUAUAAUAGAGUAUUGGAAUAACAGUGUUGCACAAAACCCUAAUGCACCUACUCUCCUGUUAUUUCCUGAAUUGUAAACCCUGAAUUACUCAAACUUACGCGAAAAGUCUGAAAAUUAACUGUGACUGCUAUAACUUCUAUUGAAGGAAAUUCUGGAUACAAAAACGGUCAUGGAAGGAAGUGUCGGGACCCGUUUAAUAGUAACAUCGCGAGUUCAGGCGUGCAAGUUUAGGGUUCAAAGCGAAAAUGUGAAUGGUCAACUCGACGAGUCUAUGGGUGGAAUCGGCAAGUAGGGUCGCGAUUCUGGUUGAGUGUUAAGUGGCCAACUCGGCGAGUCGGUGGCUGGACUCGGCGAGUUGGUGUUGUGUGGAGAAAACCCUAAUCCCAGGGAUUGAGCCCUAUAUAAAGAACAUAAUACCCUCUCCCCAGCCUCUUUGCUUCCCCUUGAAGUCCAGAAACCCUAAUUUUUUGGGUGUGAGAGAAUUAGAGAGCAUUUGGGUCUUGAAGGAGUGUUGGUUGAAGAAAUCUUUGAAGUUUAAGAGGUUUGGAGCAAGGGGCUUUGCAAGGUUUUGGCUUAUUCUUCUGUUGGAGUCUUCUUUGGAGGUAAGGAUUCAUUGCUUGAGCUGUUAUCCAUCUAGAUCUCUCAUUUGUGGGAUUUCUGGUUUAUCUAGUGCUAUCUUGAGUUUGGAGGUUGGAUCUGAGGUUGCUACCUCAGAUCUAGAGUAGUGAUGAUCCAAAAGAGCAUAAAGUCCCUGUUCAGGAGGUGUUGAUGAAGCCUUUUAGUCCCAAACCUUAGCUAAGAGUGUAUUAUGCUUAGAUUUCCUUGGAUUCACGUAAAGUUUGCUAAUUUACGUGAUGGAUGGCUUGUAUAAGACUAGAUCUAUAGAUUUGAGACCCUGCAUGGCUUGGAAAGCCUCUGUAUAAGCUAAGAACUAGUCGUACUCGGCGAGUCACAUGGGUGUACUCGGUGAGUUACAUGAAGAUGGGCAGCAACUCGACGAGUUAGAAGAACAACUCGGUGAGUUGAUUGAAGAUAGCCUUGGACUCAGCGAGUUUGUUCUUGGACUCGGCGAGUCUGGUCGUGAGGUCCUAACCUUUUCUGGUUAAGUUGAGUCAAGGGAUGACUUAGUGAGUUGAGUACGGUUAGACUCAGAGUUGUGGGACUCGGCGAGUCUUAGAGAAACUCGGCGAGUUGAGUCGUGUUAUAGGAGUUUCAGAGUAUGGGGACUCGACGAGUCAGCGGGUUAACUCGACGAGUAGAGUCAGUUAGGAGGGUUGACUUUGACUGAGGACUUUGACUUUGACCAAGAGUUGACUAGUUGACUUCCAGGGGUAUUUUGGUAAUUAUGGUAUUUAUUGAGUUCAGUCUUUUGGUAUUGAUCAGUGGUGGAGUUCGUGUCGGAGGUUGGAGCUGCGUGAUCUUAUCCUUUUCAGUCAGCAGUUGCGAGGUGAGUUAUCGUAACUAUAUCAACAGGGUCUAAGGCACCAAGGUCGGCCCUUUAUUGGAUUGUAAUCCGGGUGUUGUUGUUAUGUUAUUGCUUUGCUAUGUUUACAUCCUGGUAGCUAGGAUGGUAUAUGUUAGAGACGUGGUUAAGGUCGGUAUCCUGGUAUAUAGGAUGAUGCUAUGCUAGUGACUGGUUAGGUCGGUAUCCUGGUUAGGAUGAUGUUAUGUUAUGUGAUCUACUAGAUCGGUUUGGUUGGAUGCGUAAUGUUAUAUGAUUGUAUAUUUAUGUGGACAUGGUUGUUGGCCCAGAGUUGGGUUGAGGCGGUUCCUGCUUUGUGCUGUAGGCUAACAUACCCAGGGCGGACCGCUUAUCCCGUAGGCCCAGUGAGCGGUCCGGAUAGGCUGUAGGCCCCACGGGGGCGGACGAGAUGUGCCGAGGCUCGGAGAGUGGACCAGGCCGACUGAAGGCCCGGUGCGGGCGGACCAGUCAUACUGUAGACUCAGAGAGUGGACCAGGUGGAUUGAAGGCCAGGUGCAGGCGGACAAAUCACAUUGUAGACUCAAUGUAUAUGGCUAGACUCGGAGGGUGGACCAGGUGGACUGUAGGCCGGUGCGGCGGACCAGUCACAUAGUAGACCCGAAGUGCGUGGCUAUUCUGUAUCUAUUAUAUGACAUGGUUAUGUUUGUAUGGCGUUGGUAUUUUAGGGGUAUCUCACUAAGAUUUCGGGCUUACAGUUGUGGUUUAAAUGUUUCAGGUACUUGAGGAGACCGUGGCAAGGCAAAGACAUAAUCGUACCGCUCCUCGAGUUUUUAUGUGUUUACGAUGUGGUUUCUGGAAAAUACUCUCAUAAUAAAUGUAUUGAAAACCUUUUUGUAAUAACUUUAUGAAAUUGGGUUGUUUUUGAAAAGUUUAAAUUGGUUGGAAUUUUUAGAGUGUUACAUUAAUGGCUCACAUAAUUGCAUGAAUGUAUAUGUAUUGAAUGUGCUAGUUGUAAAGUGUGUUCUCUCUCUAUCCAUCAUGUAUAGUAAUGUACUGUAAUGUUCUGCGUGUGCUAGCUGUAAUGUGUGUUCUCUCUCUAUCUAGCAUGUAUAGUAACGUACUGUGUGUACUAGCUGUAAUGUGUGUUCCCUCUCUAUCUAGCAUCUAUAGUAAUGUACUGUGUGUACUAGUUGUAAUGUGUGUACUAUUUGUAAUGUGUGUUCUCUCUAUAUCUAGCAAUUAUUGACUCAUGAAUGAACUGACUAGUGGUAUGAUUUCUGCAUUUUAGUAAUAGUAUUAGUAUCUUCCUGAACUACCCAUAUGGUAGCUUACUAGUAAUAUAACUAGUACGUAUGAACAUGAAAGUAUACCCCUGCUACCCAAAGGUAUUGAAUUAAAUGAUAGAACUUUUAUGCCUAUAUAUGUAUACAUAAUAUACAACUAAUAUUUAGAUGACCUUCGGACGGAUAACUGAUGCCCUAAAGCCACAUCCUAAUGAGGAAAAGGAGGUAAAGCGAGCUAGUCUUCCUAAGUCCUUUAAAGAUUACUUAUAUAACUAUACAAAUAUAGGCAUGCAAUUGACAAUAUAAAAGUAUAAAAGAAGUUUCGUAAAACCUUUGAAAAGUUUUAUAACUAGGAAAAGAUGAGUUGAUGUCAGUUUGCGAAACGAUUUGAUAACAGUUUUUUUGAUAAGAACCGUGUAAAGUAUAAGGAAAACAUUUGUUUUGAAUCACAACUGUAACAGGGUUUGAAAAGAUACAUUUAGUAUGUAAGACAGUCUAAGAAAGAGUUUUAAACGAGUAAAAAUGUUUUGGAAAACCAAUUGAAGUAAUCUGUUUGGUAAAACAGCUAAAAGAGUAGUAAUUCCAUUUGUAUGCUUCAUAUUAAUCACAUGUGAUUGAUAUAAUAACUAGCAUGAUUCAACUUGUAUCCCCCCAUAAUAGCAUUUAAAGACAUUUAAAAUAUUGAUUAAGGGGUAUGAACUCACCUGUAGUUGGUGGUUUGCAUGUAUUGACUGUCGUAGGAUGCUAAGUGCCAAGUGAAGACUUGUACACACACAAGGAUCCUAGCUAUCAUAUAGUAGUACAUAUACUCAUCCAAUUAGCCUUUAAACAACGAAUUAUCAAAGUUAAGACAUCCUAAGACAUGUGACACACUUUAUAUAAGUGUUAUAAGUGAUAAGGAUUGCAUCUAAUUGUUGUAGGACAAAGCUAUUGAGCUUAGGGUUCAAAAGAACCCCUUUCACGAGUUUACUCCCUAAAGACCAUAACCCAUUGAGUUUACGGUCAUAAACCCUUGAGUUUACGGCCGUAAGCUCAUAACCUUUUGACCAUUUGUUGAUUUGAAGUCUUCUAAGUCACUCCAAGCAUUCCUACUUCAUGUUUAAGCCUUAGGAAGUGUUUGUGGCAUCAAUACACUCCAAAAUGGAGUUUACGGCCCAUGGACCAUUUCCCCAUGUGUUUGUUGCCGUAAAAUCCUAUGGAGCAUGGUAUUUUGAUGUUUUCAAGUCCUAAACAUUUCAAGGUAAAAGUCUAGGCUAGAUUCUAGGCAUAAGGAAGGAAUAUGGGUCAUUUAUAACACAUUUUGGGGUGUUUACGGUUUUGGGAGAUCCCCAAACCAUAAACACAUAUAAAUGAGAUAUUUUGGUUGUUUUGAUGUUCUAAACACAUCAAGGUAAAGUUCUAGGUUAAUAUCCAAGGCUUAUGAAAGGAUAAGGCACACUUUGGCACCUUUAUUUGGGGUUUACGGUUCAAGAAUUUUCGUGACCAUAAACACCUUGUUCUUGGUGUUCUUGGGAUUUUUUCCUGAUGUAAGGGAAUGUAACAUGCUUUAUAAGACUCUAGGAUAGAAGUACUUACUAUAUUGAAUCUUGAAAUGAGCUAAGAGUCCAAGAACACUAGUGUUUGUUCUUGGUGUUCUUGGUGAAACUUGAAGAUUGGCCCUUUUGGAAUGAUUUCACGGUUAGAAGUGUGUUAAAACACUAGAUUAAGUAAUAUAACAACUUAAGAAGGCUAGAAACACUAACUAGAUUGAAUAUCUUGAAAAACUUUUGGAUGAUACUUGAGAGAGAAAUUGGAUUUGGAUCUUGAGAUUUGGAAAAAGUGUAAAUAAUGACCAAUUGUCAUAUAUAUACUCCCAGAUUUAGGGUUUUUGGCUAUAAAUAUUUUGUUCAGGCAGUAAACUCUAAUUUCUUGGAGUCUUGGAAUAAUAGUGUUGCACAAUAAACCCUAGGACGUCCUCUCUCCUGAUAUCACCCGAAGUGUAAAUCCUAAAAUACUCAAACUUGUUCCAAAAAGUUUGAAACUUAGCAGAUAAGUUUCAAUGGACCUUCACUAAAAGUUUGAAACUCCCAAGUGAAUUCGGGUCCUUGGUUGGCAUCCCAACGGACCUUCACUAAAAGGAAACGACUAUGAAUCGUUUGCAUGACCUCUCAGUCCAUGGUCACUACGGUUCUUCCACGUAGGUGAGGCUCUUGUGGGACUUCAUCUCUUCGAGUGGGAUUUCAAGAGUCUCAUCGGAUCGAUACUUUUUACAAGUUCGAGACGUGAAGGGUAAAAUAUACCUUACUAAGCUCAUGGAGUUGGUCUAGUUUGUGAGAUACAGGACCGAUUAUGGUAAAAAUCUCGGAGGUCCUAAUUAUCUUGGCUUUAGCUCUCCACGCUUUCCGAAGCGUAUCAAACCAUUCUCAGAGUGAGACUUCCAAAAGAAAUCGGGUCUCUCACUUGGAAUUCCAAGGUUUCUUUUUCUUGCUUAUCUUCCCAGUCAAGGGCCACCCCCUGCUGGGUCAAAGUCGUAAGGGUUUCUGUAAUUCGCGAGGAGUUCUGAAUGGACUACGACGGUAGGUCUGCGAGACCUCGAAUUUGGCGAAUUUCCGUCGGCGUCUUCAGUGCCGACAAAUUCUCAACGGUUUUGAUAAAUUGACAGAGUACACAAGAAUUUCCACAUCACUAAUAGUGUGUCAUCGGAAUUUGACUCUUCAAUUCCAAAACUCGUGUUAAGAGAACGUCGCGAAGAGUUUCUCUGAGGGUAAUGUUUCCAUGGCUUGUUGUAGAUGCUCUUUAUGAAUUCCUUCUUAUUAUGAGAGUAGAUAAGUAAGUCCCUGAUAAUCGAGGUACAUAUGAUGCAAUCCGUCUACUUCUGGAAGAAUAAGACCGGAACUCUCCAGGGUGAGAAGCCUGGCCUUCCAAUUCUAUUGCUGAGUAUUUCGCUAAGUUGUCCGGAUUGUUCUUGUAUUUCUGUGGGUGCUUAGACUGUAGGGCGAUCUGGUUGCAGGAGUCGUGCCGGGUUCUAUGUUUGUUCAUAUGAUGAUGCGAUUACUUGUAGUCUUGGGCAGUCUCCAUCCUGAAGUUCAUAUUAGAAGUCAUACAUGGUUCAUCAAUCGCAGUCUCGUGUAUAUGAGUCGUAUGUAAUUAAGAUUGAAAAGGUAGUCAAACAAUUGAUUCUUCUUUAUGCUCACAUCCCUACGAGGAAAAGAAGUUAAAGUGGAAUCAUCAAUUCUAAACCUAUAGAACCUUGAUUAUAUACCACCCCUAUGUAUACAUUCUUCAGCGAUAGAUCAAACGUAUGGAUCUUUGGAUUGAACUUUACGUACUGUACGAGUGGUACUUCGGGGAGGUUUGCUGAGGUUUCUUCGGAAAGGAUAAGAAACAUGAGGUACUCUAAGCAGGAGUACUUCUGAGUUUUGAAAUGAUGGCUUCGUUAAAAAGACAUUUACGGAGAAAGAGAUGUACGUAUGAAACUGCUAUUGUGUGGAUCAAAUUGAAUCUAGUUGUAUGGUAAUAUCGGACUCACUUGGAAAUAAAGACAUUAGACUUGAUCAUAAAGGCGUUACAGGCAAAACCAACAGUGCAAUCUUUAACAGAGUUACAGUACUUUAGACUUACUACAAGACUAUUGCUGCAAACAAGGUAUACUACAAAAGACAAGUGUACGCAGCACGGGCAUCCCUUUACUGACGAGAUCUCGCAAAAAAUAAGACUCGAGUUGCACUAGUUUUAAACAGUUUAUAAAUCUGUUACAACGAAUGCCUUAGAUACUCUAACAAGGGUCCAAUGUAGUUUCUCCUGCAGCUAUGAUCCUGAGAAUCUUCCCGUCUGUGCCCGAGUUCUUUGCUAUUGGACAGUCCUUCUUGAGAUGUCCCAUCUCUCCACAUAAAUGACAUAUCUGGCUAGUGCCAUCAUCGGUAGUCGAAGUGAAGUGUCGAGUAGGAGUUAUGGGGACACGGUUUAACCAUUGAUAUUCUCUUUUGGACAAUUUUUAUAGUAUUGCCCUGCCUUACCACAACUAUAGCAAACUAGGCUAGCUCCAAUGGUGGAGGUAGUUCUACAGAAAGGAGCAAUGUGCCGCAUCUUGUUGCAAUUGUUGCAUUGCCGUACUCGGCAAAUUCCCUUAUGGUGAUAGUUGCACCAGUCACACUUCGGGGAUGUUCCUUCAUAUUGUUUGACCGGUGUUGUGAUGGCAGGGGUUGCCACUGGUUGCUGUUGCAUGGCAAUCCUCUAAAAUCGCUUGCGUUCCACUUGGGCUUGACGUUUUCAUUUCUUGUUCUCUGUUUUUCAGCUUUGCGAGCCUGCGACUGUAUCGUUUGAUGACUUCCAGGAUUGAUACUACUAUCGGAAUUUUCAACCCCUUCGCCAGCAUUGCUUGCGUUGGUAGCGCUACGGUUUGCAAGGACAACUGUCAUGGCAGCCAUCACGGCAGCUAUAACUACGGCUUGAAAAGUAGCGGCGUCCAUAGGAAAAGUAGGGGUUUCGUUGUUCGGCUGACUGUUUCUGGAUGACGACAUGAUUCUGUUAACACGAAAGAUAAGGAUUUUGUGAGCGAUUUUGGUUGACCCUAGUUGUACUUUGAUUGCUCAAGUAAAGAGUAAGAGUAUGUUCUUGGGGGUUUGACCUACAUCCCUAUGAUGCAGUCCUAGUACAGAGUAGAAGUAUGUUCGCAAAGAUUUUACCUACAUCCCUAUGAUGCAGUCCUGGAAUAGAAUAGAAGUAAGUUCGUAGUAUAGUCUUAUGAUGCUUGACGUCUAAAACUGGGUACCAUUGGUUGGUAAAUAACAUAAUCCAACCCUUGAAGAAGAAUUGGGAAUUAUCCGUGAGCUAGAAUACUCUAGUUCAAUAACUCGACUAGAGUAGGUUUCAGAUAGGCUCCCAUGAUAGCACAAUGAAAGUAUUUGAAUAAAGAUUGACAUAGAAGUUAACCGACUGCCAAUAUCUUUGAUAUUUAUGACGCAUAAGUUUAGGAAAAAUUGACCUUAAAGAAGGUCUUACAUCAUAUUCAGAGUAGAAAGGUUCUGGCCGCAUAAGGGUCUAACUAAAAGUACUUAUAGUACAAGAUAGUUUCAUAGAAAAAUGCCACUUAGGGUAUAGAUAGGAAACGAUUCCUUUCUAUAGGGAAAGAAAGUAAGGCAUCUAUUACUGGUGACGGUCAUCCUUCAGGUGAACUCUCAGCUCAGCCAAUUGACGUUCCAUAUCAAGUAGGUGUCUUUCGUACACCCUCUGGCAUACACGGAGUUCUAUGACUUCGGCUCAUGAUUAAGCCAGUGCUUGCAGUAGGGUUUCAUGGUCUCUCUCAGAUCUCUCACGAGCAUCUUCCAGGCGAAUGGUGCGGAGGGUAUGCAUUCUCGCAUUGGCGACAACUUCUGUGAUCUGAUGUAGGGUUGUCCUGCCUUGAAUCUCAUUCCGGGCCACUCUACGGACCAGGAUUGGCAAGACUCUUUCUGCUGAGCCCCCUUUGCUCAGGUCAUAAAAGCUUCGAUCUCCAUUAAAUGGCAUGAGCUAAUCCUACCCUUGGCUCCAUGUUUCCAAGCAUUCUACCCAAGGAGGUGUUGGGACAUUAAAAGCCGGACGAGGGUUACGAUUUGGAAAAGGCAGCUGCCUGUGAUAGGUUCUCAACCUCGGGUUCGGAGUUAGCACCAUCCGAAAGGUCUUCAUCAUGGUGAUCAUUCAAAGGGAUAUGAUGAUGAUUCCCUGGUUCUUAUCCAAACCAUCCAGCGAUGACUUCGUUCGGAAGGUACGGAUUGUUAUGGGGAUGGAGUCCAACCAGGUUAUCUACGAGAGAAUUAGGGAAAGAAAAUAAUAAUUAGAUGAACUAUGUAGAUAAUUAUUUAGAAAAUCUUCAUAAGUUACAUCACUAUUUGUGAAGUGCAUACCAGUUAUAUGUAAUCAAAAAAGGAUAGGCCUUCGAUUAAGUGACCUUAACUCCAAAUUCACAAGGAAUAGGGGUAAAGCAAAAAUUUUCACAAAUUCUAAGUCUAUAACAUCCUAGUUACAUAUAGCCUUAGUGUAUCCACUUAGCAACUAUCAACUUAGUAAUGAAGAUCUCUUUUAGUUCUCAAGUAUAAAGUACUUAUAGUAACACCAAAUACCCCUAUAGUAUUUUAGGUUUAUGUUCUAUUGUUCUCAUUGUGGUAUUGUUGGUAAGAUUUUAGACUUGUUGCAACCUCACAACUACACUUAGGCACAUGCUAGUCAAUCCUCGGAUAAUAUAGUUGAUCGGACUAUAUUUUCCCAGUUUUGACUAUAUGUUUCUAAGUCUACUUGUGCUGCCCAACAAUCGUAAUUCUUUUGUACUGUCCUAGUGACACUGAUUUUAGUAUCAAUGCAGACACUUAGGCACAUGCUAGUCAAUCCUCGGAUAAUAUAGUUGAUCGGACUAUAUUUUCCCAGUUUUGACUAUAUGUUUCUAAGUCUACUUGUGCUGCCCAACAAUCGUAAUUCUUUUGUACUGUCCUAGUGACACUGAUUUUAGUAUCAAUGCAGGCACAUAUACUUAAUUAAAUAUUUUAUUAUUAAAAGUAUAAACUCUUGGUCAUAGUAUUUUUAAUCCCAUUGUAUUUAUAUUUUGAUAUACUCAAUUCACUAUAAACAAUGCUCUGAUACCAAUAUGUCACACCCCAAAACCGAGAACGGCGGAAACGUUCUAGGGCGGAGGACGUCAUGUACAGUAUCACAACAAUGAAUAGUAGCAAACAAGCAACAACAUCAUCCAUUGCAUUAAUAAUAUAAUUUUAAUACAAGUGAUCUGAUAUGUCUAAUAGAAUCAAAAUGAAAGAUGAGUCUUGGACGAGCUCCAUCUUCUCUAAACCUUGCAUCAGUACCUGUCUAAUGUUGACCUGAGGAUAGAAGUUAUUUUGAAAGAGAGUAUCAGAUUUAAAGUUGGUGAGAUCAUAAGUAUUUUAGUGUCUUAAUUUGUAAAAAUGUAUUUGUAAGUAUGAGUAUGUAAAAGUUUUGAAUAUCCUAGUAAACCCUAUGCUUCCUACUGAAAGUAGCCUUCUACCAAGGCAUCUAGUAUUUGACUGUUUCCCUUGUAAAAGUGUGUAUUUUCCCAAAUCUGACUACCAUUAACCAAAAAUAUAGCUUCUACAUUACUGUGCAUCGUGUGAAUGUUCACGAAGUGAAUGUAAUGGGAAAAUGAAAUAGUACUAUAGUGUAGUAUCAAAUAACUAAAACCGUACUAACUACCUUAAAUCUAUUGAAAUUUAAAGUAACAUGUGAUCAACCUGUAUCCUACUACCGACUCUAGUAGAACGACGAUGUAAGACGCCGUAAGAAAUGACAUUCGACACCCGUAGACUUGCAAGUCCCACUAUAGCGACCAACAAGGUGUAGGAUAGUCAAUCCAGUAUAGAUCUAUACGCAAACUCAUACGCUCCCCAAUUAAGGAGAUUCUGGAUACAAAAACGGUCAGGGCAGGAAGGGUCGGGACCCAUUUAAUGGCUCACAUAACUGCAUGAAUGUAUAUGUAAUGAAUGUGCUAGCUGUAAAGUGUGUUCUCUCACUAUCUAGCAUGUAUAUUAAUGUACUGUAAUGUUCUGCUUGAGCUAGCUAUAAUGUGUGUUCUCUCUCUAUCUAGCAUGUAUAGUAAUGUACUGUGUGCACUAGCUAUAAUGAGUGUUCUCUCUCUCUCUCUCUCUCUCUAUCUAUCUAUCUAGCAUGUAUAGUAAUGUAAUGUGUGUACUAGCUGUAAUGUGUGUUCUCUCUCUAUCGAGCAAGGAUUGACUAACGAAUGAACUGACUCGUGGUAUAAUUUCCACAUUUUAGUAGUAGUAUUAGUAUCUUCCCGAACUACCCAUAUGGUAGCUUACUAUUAAUAUAACUGGUACGUAUGAAUAUGAAAGUAUACCCCUGCUACCCAAGGGUAUUGAAUUAAAUGAUAGAACUUUUAUGUCGAUAUAUGUAUACAUAAUAUACAAUUAAUAUUUAGACGACCUUCGGACGGAUAACCGAUGCCCUAAAGCCACAUCCCAACGAGGAAAAGGAGGUAAAGCGAGCUAGUCUUCCUAAGUCCUUUAAACAUUACUUAUAUAACUAUACAUAUAUAGGCAUGAAAUUGACAAUAUAAAAGUAUAAAAGAAGUUUUGUAAAACCUUUGAAAAGUUUUAUAACUAGGAAAAGAUGACUUGAUGUCAGUUUGCAAAACGAUUUGAAAACAAUUUGUUUGUUAAGAACAAUGUAAAGUAUAAGGAAACAUUUGUUUUGAAUCACAACUGUAACAGGGUUUGAAAAGAUAAAUUUAGUAUGUAAGACAGUCUAACGAAGAGUUUUAAAUGAGUAAAAAUGUUUUGGAAAACCAGUUGAAGUAAUCUGUUUGGUAAAACAGCUAAAAGAGUAGUAAUUCCAUUUGUAUGCUGCUUAUUAAUCACAUGUGAUUGAUAUAAUAACUAGCAUGAUUCAACUUGUAUCCCCCCAUAAAAGCAUUUAAAAACAUUUAAAAUAUUUAUUAAGGGGUAUGAACUCACAUGUAGUUGGUGGUUUGGAUGUGUUGACUGCCGUAGGAUGCUAAGUGCCAAGUGAAGACUUGUACACACACAAGGAUCCUAGUUAACAUAUAGUAGUACAUAUAUGUAUCCAAUUAGCCUUUAAACAACUAAUUAACAAAUUUAAUACAUCCUAAGACAUGUUAAACACUUUAUAUAAGUGUUAUAAGUGCUAAGGAUUGCAUCUAAGUGUUGUAGGACAAAGCUAUUGAGCUUAGGGUUCAAAAGAACCCCUUUCAUGAGUUUACUCCCUAAAGACCAUAACCCAUUGAGUUCACGGUCGUAAAACCUUGAUUUUACAGCCAUAAGCUCAUAACCAUUUGACCAUUUGUUGAUUUGAAGUCUUCUAAGUCAUUCCAAGCAUUCCUUCUUCAUGUUUAAGCCUUAGGAAGUGUUUGUGGCAUCAAUACACUCCUAAAUGGUGUUUACGGCACAUGGACCAUUUAUCCAUGUGUUUGCUGCCGUAAACUACUAUGGACCAUGGUAUUUUGAUGUUUUUAAGUCCUAAACACUUCAAGGUAAAUGUCUAGGCUAGAUUCUAGGCAUAAGGAAGGAAUAUGGGUCAUUUAUAACACAUUUUGGGGUGUUUACGGUUUUGGGAGAUCCCCAAACCGUAAACACAUAUAAAUGAGAUAUUUUGGUGGUUUUUAUGUGCUAAACACAUCAAGGUAAGGUUCUAGGUUAAUAUCCAAGGCUUUUGAAAGGAUAAGGCACACUAUGCACCUUUAUUUGGGGUUUACGGUCCAAGAACUUCUUGGACCGUAAACACCUUGUUCUGGGUGUUCUUGGGACUAUUUCUUGAUGUAAGGGAAUGUAACAAGCUUUAUAAGACUCUAGGAUAGAAGUACAUACUAUAUUAAAGCUUGAAAUGAGCUAAGAGUCCAAGAACACUAGUGUGCGUUCUUGGUGAAACUUGAAGAUUGGCCCUUUUGGAAUGAUUUCACGGUUAGAAGUGUGUUAAAACACUAGAUUAAGUCAUAUAAGAGCUUAAGAAGGCUAGAAACACUUACUAGGUUGAAGAUCUUGAAAAACUUUUGGAUGAUACUUGAGAGAGAAAUUGGAUUUGGAUCUUGAGAUUUGGAAAAAGUGUAAAUAAUGACUAAUUGUCAUAUAUAUACUCCCAGAUUUAGGGUUUUUGGUUGUAAAUAUUUUAUUCAGGCAGUAAACUCUAAUUUCUUGGAGUUUUGGAAUAACAGUGUUGCACACUAAACCCUAGGGCAUCCUCUCUCCUGAUAUCACCUGAAGUGUAAAUCAUAAAAUACUCAAACUUGUUCCAAAAAGAUUGAAACUUAGCAGCAACUUUUUUGACUUCUAUUGAAUUGAAGGGUUGUACAGGAUAGAAAUUUCGGGUUGUCACAAUAUGGGUCCAGAAGGCCAGGAUGAAUGAGUUUCACUGGAGUAUCCCUUGAUAUGGAAAUCGAGUUAGCUCCGAGGGAUUCUUGGUGAUAUGCCAGUAAAGUCGCAAGACUCAGAGUUGAGUCGGGACAGUGCGUUAUGGGAGAAUACGGCCUGAGCUGGGCAACCAGCCAACGGUAGAAAUGUCACUUUCUGUGACCCGAGUGGUGCUAUUUCUGUUUCCUAAGGGAGACGUAAGAGGUGUUGAGAUUUCAGUUUCUGAGUUGGGGGUGAGCCCUGUGGGAUUGCGCUAAUGGUGAUCUUCAAUUAAAGUAUCUACCAGAAGGUCUGUCGUGCGAGAAUGAUAUAGCUUGUGCUGGUUGACAGUGGGGACUGAGAUGUUCAAGGACCAAGAUACACCCUAUUUGAGUAUAGUAGGGCAUGUCUUAGCUGCAUCAUUGGACGAUCAAGAGGAGUAUAUUAGGGUGGUGACUCUUAUUGUCUUUGAUGGGUAUAGAGAGUGGAAAUGUGGUUUCUGCUCUUAUGAUAAGUGAUGUGCCGGAGCAUUGGGUGAGGAUUCGAGGAUGAGAAGUAUGAUAUUUCAUUCUUUCUAGAUUAGGAGUCAGGGUUAAUACUGGACAUUUGGGAGGUCCAGUGAUGGUAUGAUGUGAGACUUUGAAUGACUAGAGGCAGUCAUGAUGGUAAGUUCUGAGGAUUUCCUAUGAGAUUCGGGUAUUUGGAGCUGUUUGAUCUCUGUCAGGGAGAUCAUCGAAUGUUGCGUAGAACCUUACGGGAUUGGGUGCGAUGUUACUGGUGGAGAUAGUCGGUGGGAUAGAGUGUUGGUGCACCAAUUGGUGAUGGUUGGAACCCUAAGUGGGGGAGGACCAGGUAUUUUGUUGAGAGGAUCAGAGAUCUAUUCGAGGUCGGUUAGAGAUCAGGAUAUAGAGACCUGCGGUGUGGAUUCAUGUGAUCAAAGUUAUUGGUGUUUAAAGCGAGGUACAUAGCGAGAUAAUGCAUGUGGUAUAUGUUUGGUAAAGGCUGAAUGUCUCCACGACAAGUGGCCAUUGGUCGGAGACCUUGUGAUGGAUAGGAAUUCUUCGAGGUGGUUGGCUCAUAGGGUUAAUUCGGUGGUGGAAGACUUCUGGUUCAAAUGUUUGGGCUGUUAUGAAGUUGGGAAUGGACAAAAGUUGAUUCUGGCGACUAAUUCCAGGGUCGUUAUGAGUAUUCUGGCAUGGACUUGAGCAUUAUAGGAAGGAGUUUCGGGUUGUCUUCAACGUGUUCUGGGUCAUUGAAAAUCCCUCCUUCUUGCCAUUCAAAAUUGGAAUGAUCUGAAAAUCCAGAUUGUGUAACAGGAAGAUCGGUGGAUGAGGCAAAACAUCAUGAGGUUCUAUGGUGGUGUGUCAAGAAUCUAAGAUUCUAGUGGGAGCCCUUUCGGUUAAUGACGGCAAAUGGAUUAUUUAAGGCAAUGGAUUGCAGCAAGGGAAGGUGUAACGACUGAAAAAUACAACCAAUUUUAAAUUUUUCAAAAACAGCUCGAUUCCAUUAAAUCUUUACAAAAAGGUUUUCAAUACAAACAUUUAACGUUUUCCCAGAAUCACAUUACUACAAAAUCAUGAGGAGCGGUACGAUCACGCCUUCGCCUUGCCACGGUCUCCUGAAGAACCUGAAAAACAUAAAACGACAACUGUAACCCCGAAAACAUAGUGAGAUAUCCCCAAAAUACCAACCACAUACACCAUACACGCAUAACAUGACACAACAUAUCUGAUCACAGAACAGCCAUGCACUUCGGGUCUGCUGUGUGACUUGUCCACCGCACCGGCCUACAGUCCACCUGGUCCACCCUCUGAGUCUAACCACAUACAUCGAGUCUGCAGUGUGAUAGGUCCGCCCGCACCGGGCCUUCAAUCCACCUCGUCCACUCUCUGAGUCUACAGUAUGACUGGUCCGCCCACACCAGGCCUUCAGUUUGUCUGGUCCACUCUCCGAGCCUCGGCACGUCUGGUCCGCCCUCUUGGGGCCUACAGCCUAUCCGGACCGCUUGCAGGGCCUUCAGAACAACCGGUCCGCCCUGGGUAUCUUGGCCUACAGCACAAAGCAGGACCCGCCUCAACCCAACUCCAGUCCAAGCAACCAUGUGCACAUAUACAUACAAUCAUAUAGCAAUUCACAGUCAACAAGCAGAUCAAACAGAUCACAUAACAUAUCAUCAUCCUAACCAGGAUACCGACCUAACAGGUCACUAGCAUAGCAUCUCCCUAUCUCUCAGGAUACCGAUCUCAAUCAGGUCUCUAACAUAUACCAUCCUAGCUCUCAGGAUGCAAACAUAUCACAACAACAACAUAACAACAACUACCCGGAUCUCAAUCCGAUAAGGGCCGGCCUUGGUGCCUUAGACCCUGUUGAUAUAGUGAGGAUAACUCACCUCGAAACUGCCGGCUGAAAGGAUAAGAUCCCGCUGCUCCAAGCUCCGACACGAACUCCUCCACUGAACACCAACACACUCAACUCAAUAAAUACCCUUAAUUACCAAAAUACCCCUGAAAGACAACUGGUCAACCUUUGGACAAGGUCAAAGUCAACCCCUGACUGACUCUACUCGCCGAGUCAACCCGAUGACUCGCCGAGUCCCCAUACUCAGAACUUCCCUCAAUCCGCGACCUAACUCGCCGAGUCACCCCGAGACUCGUCGAGUCCAACAACUCUGAGUCCACUCGCCCACAACUCACCGAGUCAUCCCUUGACUCGCCGAUUCUCGACUCAACCAGAAAAUAUUGGGACUCUUCGACAAGACUCGACGAGUCCAAGAAUAGACUCGCCGAGUCUAAGGCUAUCUUAAACCUACUCGCCGAGUUGUUAAUACAACUCGCCGAGUUCUAGGCCAUCUUCAUCCAACUCGUCGAGUUCCAGCUCAUCUUCAAGCAACUUGUCGAGUCUACCCAUGUGACUCGCCGAGUACCACCGGUCUGAAUCCAUACAGAAGCAUUCCAGGCCAUGCAAUUGAUCCAAAACAUAGAUCUAGCCUCCUACAACUCAUCCAUCACGUAAAGUGGCAAACUUUACGUGAAUCCAAAGAGAUCUAGGCCUUUAACACUUUAGGGCUAGGGUUUGGGACAUGAUAGCUUCACUACACACUCAAACACAGGGACUUUCAGGCAUUCCAACCCUUCUCCAUUCCAGAUCUGAGGUAGCAACCUCAGAUCUAACCUCUAAACUCCAAAACACCAAAAGAUAAGCUCCCCACAAACCCCAUAAUGAUGAAUCCAAAGAGUAACAGCCCAUGAACGAGAUAUUACCUCAAAAGAACGCCCCAACUGCAAUGGAACUCGAAUCCAAGCAAAGCCCCUUGCUCCAAGCCUCCUACCCUUCAAGAUUUCCUCAACAAUUGCUUCUCCAAGCUCCCAAAUGCAACUUGAUCCACUCACAUACGAAGGUUAGGGUUUCUGGACUUGAGGAUGAGUAAAGAGGCUGGGGGAAUGGAUGUUAUGUUCUUUAUAUAGGGCUCAACCCCGAGAAUUAGGGUUUUCUCCACUCAGCGCCUACUCGCCGAGUCCAUCUUACUGACUCGCCGAGUCGGCUACUUAACACGCGACCAAGUCGCGACUCUACUGGCCGAGUCCACCCAUGGACUCGCCGAGUCGCUCUUUCCCAAUUUACUCUUUUAGCCCUUCAACUCUACUCUUGAUAUUUCGGGAUGUUACUGAAGGUGUUUUGUUAUGACUAUUGUCAUCAGUUAUAGUGGUGCAUAAUUUGGGUAGGUGUGUGCACCUACCCAUGGAUGUUCCGCAGAGCAUGAGUUAAUGAUCGCAGUGUGGCAUCGAUCUGAGGAUGAGUUUGUGAAGUGGUAAGAACUAGUGGGGUGAGACUCCGGAGAGCUACAGUUCAAUGGGCUAGUGCAAAAGGGUGUUGCGAUGCUACGGGGAGCCGUAGUACUCACUAGUUAGUAAGAGGUUGUUGUGAUGUUACAGGGAGUUGUGGUACUCACUCGUCAGAGAGAGGGUGUUGUGAUGCUACGGGGAGUCGUAGUACUCACUAGUCAGUAGGAGGUUGUUGUGAUGCUAUAGGGAGCUGUAGUACUCACUAGUCAGCGAGAGGGUGUUGUUAUGCUAUGGGGACCUGUAGUACUUACUAGUCAGAGAGAGGGUGUUGUGAUACUACGGGGUGCUGUAGUACUCACUAGUCAUAGAGAGGGUGUUGUGAUGCUACGGGGAGCCAUAGUACUCACUAGUCAGGGAGAGGGUGUUGUGAUGCUACGAGGAUCCGUAAUACUCACUAGUCAGAGAGAGGGUGUUGUGAUGCUAUGGGGAGCCAUAGUACUCACUAGUCAGAGAGAGGGUGUUGUGAUGCUACGGGGAACCGUAGUACUCACUAGUUAGUAGGAGGUUGUUGUGAUGCUAUGGGGAGCCGUAGUACGCAAUAGUUAGCAAGAGGCUGUUAUGAUGAAGCACUCUUGUUCAGAGCAUGAAACAAAAGAGUUUUAGGCUUGAAUAACCCUAAUUUAUGAGUUUCUGGGUGCCUGGUGGUCGGACCAGGGGUGAGACCGGGGUCUCUUCAAUGAUAGGGAAUCAUUAUAUUCUGAGUAAGGUGUGGACAUUGCAACCUGAAGGAAUUAGAAAGGUGAAGUAUGCAUGGGUUGCGAAUCACGAGUCAUGAGUUGAAUGGUUCAUUGGGACGAGUGGUUCCAACUUUGGGUCGGACCAAACUCUCGAUUUGAGUUGAGUCCCGGUGGUGCGUUGGGUAGACGAGAUGAGAUUCUAGAAUCAGAGGUGGGUUCCAUGUGAGGGGUAAUGUUUGUCAUCUGAUGUAUUAGAUUUGGGAAGGUCAAGGCCAUGGUUUGGGAGGUGCAGCGGGAUGCACGGAACCUUUGGGCACUAAUCAACAGAGUUCAGGGGUAAUGCGAUCUUCAGUAAAGUUGUAGCGUUUGAUUGAGGGACAGUGAAUGGCAUGACUUGUGCAUCACUAAGAGUUGAGACAGUUAUUGUAAGAUAGGAAUCGGUGAAACCUUUUUGGUUAUGGGAUGGGAGAUCUUGAGGUUCAUCUAUUGGGUUUCAAAAGGCCAGAGAAUACUCCCAGGCGGGCAAGAUCAUUUCCUUAUCUUUGGGUUCUUCCUCUCUAAUGGAUCCUGAUGAUUGCCUUUGUAGUGGGUCUUGGAGAGAGAGGGAGGUUAUGACCUUUCUACCCUUUUGAGUUGCGAUCGGGAUUGAACGGGGAAUCAGGGUUGGUAGGGUGUUCUUAGAGUCUGUUAGUCGGUGGUCGAUUAACAGAAUAAUUCUUCGAGGAUGGUCUGGCAUUGAAUAACACCGCAUGAGUUUCCCUAGUAAUGGGGAUUCAGAUUUGGGUACCGUAAUGGCAGUUGGGUCUGCCCAUUUCAGGUCGGGAGUUCCCGGUGGGAACGAGUAUCCUUGGAAGUGAUUGUUGUAUGGCUUGAGGACCUUCGGUGGUGCCUCUUGGUUUGUUGGGUCCGAUCUAUGUCUGGUAAGGAGCGAUUUCGAGGGAGAAAUCAAAUUCAAGUGGGGGAAAAUUGUAACAUCCGGUAAUUUUGGUAUAUCUAUUUAACCCUUCCUCUUCUCCAAAUUGUCAAGAAUAGCACCUAAAUGGUAAAUGUUGCAAAGGAGUACACUGCGCGUACUCAUUCGCUUAUAAUAAACGCAGAGUCCAUGAAGUACGCUGGGCAUACCAAUGUUACGCUGCGCGUAACUAGCCUAGAUGCAAAACCCUAAAUGGGACUAGAGGACUAUAAAAGGAAUGAUAUGGUCUCUUCCUAAGCCGCCAUUUCAGAGAGUGAAGCCCUAAUAGAGAGCGCUCCUUCGUUUCUAGUUAGUGUGUUGUGUUCUAAGCUUCAAAGUGCCAUUUCAAGGUGGUGAAAGAGAAGAGGAGGGCAUUUUGGAAGCUAGGAGUUUGUGGACAAGAGUAGAUCCGAGCUUUUUAGAGGUUGGAGUUUCUUUCUGAGGUAAAAAGCUCAAAACUUUCCUUGUCAUAUGUGUUGAGUGCUUUUGGACCAAUUUCUAGGGUUUUGGGUCCCAAGGUGGAGACUUUAUUGAGUAAAUGGUCUCCAUUGGCCUAGAUAUACCAUAUUUCAGGACUAUAAGAGUUGUAUGUUCAUAAAAAUACAAUCUUGGACGUGAAUUUUGAGCCAUGCAUGAGAUCUAGACCUUUUUUGGAAGAAGGAAAGGUGUUAGAGUGUGUAGGGACCUUUACAGCUAUGCAAAGGCUUAAAGGUUCCGACUUUAUGGGAUAAGAGGCUUAGGGAAAGUCAGAUCUACAAGUUAAAUACGUGUCUUAACUGUUUAAGACCAAAAUCAAAGGAAAGGCUGAAACUGAGACUUAUGCAGGGCGUAACUCUCAGUACGCGCAUCGUAAAGGGUUGAGACCCCGAUUGUGGUUCACCGGUGUAUGCCCCGCGUACGGAGAAGGUACGUGCCGCGUACUGCCUCCUGUUGACUUCCGUUGACUUUUAGGGCUUUGGUCAAACUUUGGACUUUCGGGUCAGGGAGGGGUAAAAUGAUCUUUUACCCUUAUGUGGAAUUGUAUGAGUGGAUUUAAUCUAGCCUUUGAGAGCCAGUAUUUAUUUGAGAGUGUUGUUUAUGUGUUUAGGCGGGGGCUAGACCAGUGUGUUCGUGUGUGAGAUUAUCUGAGAUACCCGAGUUGAGUCUUUUCACUAUACUUUACCUUGAGAGGUAGUUAUGUGUGACCGGAAGGUCUUAUGUGCUUACAUCGAGUAUUAUGUUAUCAUGUUGUAUGUGACAUGCUAUGAAUUAUGUCUUUGUUAUUUAUGCUAUGCGGAUUUGAUAUACCGGACCGGAGGGUGCAAUGAUUCAUGAGGCCGGAAGGCUCAAGUAGACCGGAACGAAGGGUCCAACAAGCUUAGGACCGAAGGGUCCACAGAGUUAUGGGACUAGAGUGUCCCACUGAGACACAUUGACCAGAAGGUCAAAAAGAGUUAUAGCCUCGAGUGGCUAAUAUGUGUUGUAUGUGGUAUUUUGGGGAACUCACUAAGCUUCGUGCUUACAGUGUUAUGUGUUAUGUGUUUCAGGUUUCAGGUUAGCGGGACGACACCGGCUUGAUUGUACACAGCAGAGGAAGAGUUACGUUUUGAGGAUCCUUGAUUUUUACCUAUUCAAAUAUGGAGUUAUGUUUUGAAAAUUGAACAAAUGAUAUUGUUUUACAAGUGUUAUGAAGAGUAUGCAUUAUAAAAGUGAAAAAUUUGUUUUAAACUUUCACGUCGUAACAUAUUAACAUUUUGAAAUUAAAAAAAAAUUGUCAAAAUAUGAUAUUGAUUCUGAGGAUUUUGAUCUAAAGAAAAAUUAUUGGAUCAAUCAAUGGGGUUGCAACAUAUUAGAUCCAAUGAGACAAAGCGAUCAAAAAUGAAAAACACAAAACACGGAUCGAAUUCUUGGACAUUUUGGAAUCAAUUUGAGAAUUUGAGAUACAUUUUUGACGAAUCGAGUCCCGUUUGUAACGAACAAAUCAAAUCUAGAAGAUCUUGUUUCUUUUGUUGGAAUGAGAAAGUCUCCAAAUCGAACAUUGUACCAACCAUUAUGCGUGGUGUACAAUUUGUUCUUCGUGUUCUUCAACGAUCCAAGAAUAUCUUCAAAAGAACCACCAACAUUUUUAGGUUUUGACUUCAAAUUCAAUGCAACAUUUGGAGAUUGUUGCUUUGGAACCCAAAUUUGUUUCACGGAUUUCGGCUUCACAACAUUUGAUGAUUUUUGUGAUUAAACCUACUUGUUCUUUCGAUUAAUCCUCUUCUUCUUAUUCUUUCUCAUAUUUUUUGCAUCUUGAAGACUUGAUGUCAUGAACAAACCACUUUCCACAACAUAAACAAUUUGAGUUUGAAUCAAAUCUUUUGGAGUUUGAUAAUUGUGAUUUUCUUGGAUCACCGGUUUCCGAUAAGGAAUCAUUCAUUCAAAAGAAUCACAACAACACAAAAUAUCAUGGGUUUGAACUCCAAUCGAGCAAAAAACAUUUUCAUCAUGCGAAUCAACUUGAACUCCUUUUUCUUGAACAUCAGGAUCAUCACAUUGAACUCCAUUGUCAUGAACCUCAACAAACUUAAGAGCAUGAAGAUCAUUUGGGUCUUCAAUAAGAGAAACAUAUUUCUUAGUGAACAAAUAUUUUUCUUCACCAAUCUUAUCACUACUACGUGUUGAUAUGGACCAUGCAAUAUCAGCAAACCAUUUGAUCUCACAAAGUGGUUGAAAUGUCAAGCUUCCAUGAUCAUCAUUCAAUCCUCCAUAAGAAACCAUAGUUCCCCAAUAUACGAACUUGUUUAACACCAACCCAUAAUAUUGAUCUUUAUUGACUUUGUAAUUGAUAUCUUCAAUGAUCACAAUCCAAGAAUUAUAAGGCAAGUUCACCAUGAUCACAAAAACUUGAAGAUUUCUAGAAAGAGAAAGUAAUUUUGAAUUGGUUUUCUGGAGAGAGAAAGUAAAAAUCACUUGAAUUCGAGUGAAGAAAAUUGAAUUUUGAAUAGAAUAAAAGAUUAAUUGGAUUUCUAUAAUCCAAAAACUCUCUAAAACACAAAGAUCAAAACAUAAUUGAAGAAUCACCAAAUCUAGAAAACCACCAUGGAUCAAUUCUGGAUCAAAUCAAGAACACCCGCUCUGAUACCAAUUGUAGUGGUGUUGAUUAUGAUGGCAUGUGCGGAAUAAGAAAGAUCUAGCGAAUCAUCAUACAAAGUCAAGAACACAUGGAGUAAAUAAAUCUGUGUAAGCUCUCAUUAGAUAUUGAAAGAGUAUACAAAUGGGUCAUGUAUAAAUUAUCUCUCUAGACUAACACUCAAAAAUGAUCAUUCUAAAUCUGAGUGUCACUCACUUCCUAUUUAUAGUAAAGACAACUUAUUUACACAUCAAUAAGGGUAAAGGACGAAAAUAUCCAAUCGUGACUUUGCACCCUAACACCUAGUGUUUGAGCUUAGGGUUGUCACCCUCAGAGCUAAAAAGGUCCCAUAAGCAGUAAAGUCUCCAUCUUGAACAUCUUAAUGAGUUCAUGCAUGAGAUCUAGCCUUCUUUAUGGAAGAAGAAUGUCAUUUUGAGAGUUUGGGCUUGUUUAGGUCAAGUGAAGUCACCAAGUUAGUGACUUUAUAGCUUAAGACAUGGAAAAGGACCAGGAUUUGUAAUUCUAGCUUCUGAAGUAGAGUAUUAAGCACUUAAUGAGAAAAGCGCUUAAAAGGUGGGUUACGCUGAGCGUACGUGCAGGUAAACCAAGCGUACUUACCACUUACCUGGAAUGCUUAGCGUACGUGAGUGUACGCCACGCGUACUAUGGCAGUUUGGGCUUUAGGUUAUUGGGCCUCGGUUUGGGCCAUGCUUUGGACUUUAGGCCUUAGUAGGCCAACAGAAAGUCAUAUGAAACAGGUGAAAGAAAUGUUUGGGCUUAGGAUAAGGCCCAUUAGAGGGAUUGGGAAGCUUACCUAGUAUUGAGCCUUAGUUUUGGGCCUUAGAUAUGGACCAACUUGGACUAGGGGGUAGAAUGGUCAUUUUACCUAAAAAGGGUUAUUGUACUGGACUAAGUGAUGUUUGGAAUUGGUAGUUCGGAAGCCGAAGGGUCAGCAGUUUGAGAAGUACCAGUCAGCAGCCAGAGGAGUACCAGCAGGGUUCAUUUGUGCGAGGUGAGUCUCCUUAUUGUGUGAAUGGGUCUACGACCAUAAUGUCGACCCAUGUAGUUAUGAGUAGGAAGACCUGGGGUUACCGCAAGGCACUGUAUGAUAGUAUGUGAUUUCGGAUCAAGGUCCGAUGCCCGGCGGGUGCCCGAGGAAUGCUUGUAUGAUAGUUUGUACUUGUUGUAUGUGUGAUACUCGUAUGUUCCUGGUAGGAGAGAGUGUGGGCGAGGUUCUGUAUCUCACCACUAGCAAAGAAUGGACGAGGCUCCAUAUCUCAUUAGUAGCAGAACAGCGGUGAGGCUCGAGAUAGGAGAGAGGUGAGUGUGGGAGGGGGCCCGUAUCUUACUAUCAGCUGGAGCAUGGACGGGGUUCCAUGACUCACCAAUAGCAGGACAGGGGCGGGGCCCAAGAUAGGCGAGGCCUUAGUACAAGAAUACAGUAGAGUGUGUUUAGCUUACGUGUUAUAUGUUAUGAUAUAUGUUGUAUGUGUUUAGCGGGAGAGGCACAGAGACAGGAGGGGCCGAAGAGAAACAUAUAUGUAUACCGAGCAGGGCUCGAUUCCAGGCGAGGUCUAAUGCCGGGAGGGGCCUGAUGCCAGAGCUAGUCCGAUGUCGGCAAGUCCCGAUGCAAUGGGCAGGGGCCUAGUAUGUGGUCAUGUAUGUGGUAUGUGGUAGGUUGGGGAACUCACUAAGCUUCGUGCUUAUAGUUUUCAAUCUUGGUUUCAGGUACUUCUGGUAGCGGGGGGAAGAGCUCGGGGUGAUCGCAUGUCACACACACCAAAGGAUUUUUAGCCUGGGAUGUUUACUCUAAUAAAAUAAAAUAAUGCUUUAGAGAUGAUACUCUGAUGUGAUAUGUUUCUAAUGGAUGGUUGUCACAUGUGGUUAUAUUAUCAAAUUUAAAAACGAAAUCUUUGGUCAUGAUUUUUGAGAUUUUACAAGUUGGUAUCAGAGCCUUGGUUAGAGGGAUUUGGGCAUACUCUCAGGUGUGACUGAAUUCAAACUAUGGGCAUGGUAUCAAAAUUUUCAAAAGAAAAUCAUUUUUAUAUAAAUGUGUUCUGAGAAAAGGAAAAGAGUUUGAAAAGAGAAAAGGGUGUGGUAUAUGCAAUCAGCCGAGCUCACGUAAGUUAUCCCAACUUACACAUACAAGUUUAUGUUAUGAUAUUAUUAUGCGAUCAACAUGCUAGAUUUAGGACUAAGGAUCUAGGAGGAUGCCUUAUAUUCCUGUUGUAUGUGUUUGUGAACUGCAUGCUAGUAUCGGUUAGACAGCGGUAGGAUAGCUUGUUUAGGUUAUGUGUGAUUAUAUGAGCUUAGCAUCGCAUGCUAGUAGAGAUUCUUGUUGUGUGGAUAUAAUUGCUUGAUUAUGUUCUGGUUAAAUUUCCCUUUUUGUCUGAAUGCUACUUGCUUUGUGCUUUGUGGGACUCUGAGUGAUGGGAGUUAGCCAUUAAGUGAAUGCGUCAAGUCACAUGUGACCAGGGUUGAAUAAUCUCAGAGUGCUGGAUUUGGCCCUAUUGUGUAGCUCUUGUCUGAUUCCAUCUAUUGUAGGGAGGAGUCCUUUACUCGAAGGAAUAUAUGAGCCUCGUUUCAUAUGAUGGUAUUCAGGAAGUGGCUAAUUGGCAUUAUAAAGAUACCUUCAGUAGCUGAGGAUUGGGUGCGGGUUGGAGGUUACCCUAGAGAAAGCCUAGGAUGAGAGUAGUGUUGGGAGCAGUGUUAGUAAUAGCGAAAGGGACUUGGUGUAGUUGAGGAAAAUCUUGAGGAAAGUGCGGAUAGAUGAGGAAGGUAGUAGGGGCCUAUACUACUGAAAGCAUAGGAUCUGUACUCGAUUCAAGAAGGGUUGAGAUAAAACCAAGGAACUUGUUGUGCGUGUGGGAUCCCUUAGUAGUGAUGUGUAUUCUGAUGGUUGUUAUGGCUUGUUUUCAGCUUGGUGACGUUGCGGGAGAGACCAAUGGGCGGUUUUGGCGCAGGUGAUUGAUCAGGCUCGGGUUCAGGAGCCGAUCAGCUCGGGGACCAGAUGAGGGAGUUUAUAUCAGCUGAGAUUACUCACUUUAUUCUAGACCAGACUCCUGUAAUCUUUGGUACGAUCAAGGAGGGAAUACUAGAGAUUUCAGAUGAGAGGCUGGGAGCCUUCCCCACUGAGAUGGUGGUGCGUACACUAGCUUUCCGAGAGUUCAGGUCCUGUGGAGCUCCGGAUAACCAUGGGUCCAAGGACCCCAUUGCUAGCAACAGGUGGUUGGCUGAUGUCGCCAACGCUUUCCGUACGAGCCGAUGUCCCGAGGGGGACAUGGUCUGACUUGCCUCCUUUCUUCUGAAUGAAAGAGCACGAGAUUGGUGGGAUGAGGUUGGUCAUGUCAUUGGGGAUGAUGCGCGUUGGACGCAAUGACAUGGAGUGAUUUCUUGACUAGGUUCAAGGCCGAGUUUGCGCCGGUGAUUAAGCUACAACAGUUGGCACGAGAGUUUCAGGAUUUGUGGUAGACUAUAGAGACAGUGGCGGAAAUCAACACGAUGUUCAGGGAGAGGGAUCUUCUUGUUCCACAUUAUGUUGCGGACAAGGAGAUGAAGAAGGCUCGAUAUCAUGAGAUGCUGAGGAGUGACAUCGGGGAGUUUGUGAGAAGGUCUAGUUGUAAGACGCUGGAGGAUAUGAUUGCUUGGGCCAGGGAGAGGGAGAUCGAUCUGGAGCACCUCAGGAAGAGGAAGCCAGAGGUGGUUCAGGUAGCCACAGGUCCAGGCAAGAGACCUGAGGGGUCGGACGCGAGAUCGAGGGAUUAUCAGGGUCGCAGUCGUUGUGGCAAGUGUGGUAGGAUGAAUGAGGGUGCAUGCAGGGGUGGUAGUGGUGGUGAUUCUAGCUGCUUCAAGUGCAGCCAGAGUAGUCAUUUCAGCAGGGAUUGUACUGCUACCACCCCUCAGGGACAAGUCCUGAUAUUUUUCCAUUGUAGUCAGAGGGGCCACAAGAAAGCCUAGUAUUCAAAUUUGUUUCCAGCAAUGCAGGUGAUGGCACAUGCCCUUGCAACUAUGAGGAUCACCGACGUCCGUUAGGGCUGAGCAGAGCCGCCUACAGUGGGGAGCAGGGCUUUUCAGUUGUCUACAGUGGAGGCGCAAGCAGCACCAGACGUUGUAGGUAUGUAUCUUUUGCUUUCCUGUCAGUUUUUAAGCAUGAUCAUAUUGGUAUGGUACUGCAUCUAUGUUAGCGAAUGUAUGUUAGAAUCUUAUUUCUAUUCGUGUUUGGAACAUAUGCCAUUUGCAUACCAUGGAUUUUUGGGUGGUAGUUCAUAGAAGUACCCCCCUUUUUGGGCCAGUUUUUUGGAUGCAGUAGAUGUAGCAGGUGUGAGUGGGACUCGGGAAGUGUCAUGUUAGUCUGCAAGAGUAGUUCGGGUUUGGUAUUGGUUAGUUUUGGAGCUCCAGCGGUGGUAAGCGUGGCUGGCAGCAUAUCGACCUUUGGAUGGAGAAAAGGAUUGGGAAUCCUGUCCAAGCUGGAACCUGUACGGAUCUAGUUGAAUUGAAGUGUGGGGGUAUUAUCCUCGUAGUCAGGCGCUGGGGUAGGAGUGCAACUUCGAUGUGUUCACCUCUUGGCUAAGAAGGAAAGUAGUCGAGUUAGCUGUUUGGAUAGAGCAGCUGGGAGUCGGGAGUAUGAGAAACAUCCUGACAUUGAGUUCAUGUAUUCAUAGUAGUAUAGGACUGGUUUGGGAAACCAGGUUUAUGUUUUCCCGGUAGCACGCGAGUUAAUCAGGAUGUUAGACUGUGGAGCGCUUGUUGUUGUACGUUUUAUCGCUGGUAGCUAGUAGUUGGAGGAGUGUGGGCGGGGGCCCGAAUCUCCUAGUUAGCGGAGUGUGGGCGAGGCCCAUAUCUCCUAGUUAGUCGAAUAGAGAUCCAGAAAGGAUAGUUUGUCAAGGAUUCAGGAUGGAUUAGGACUCGUGUAGCACUAGAUAGGUGAGACUGGGGGUACAUUUACUCAGUAUUAUGGUUUGGGUGGGACCCGUGGGCGAGGCCCUUGCGAUAGUAGCAACACAAGUGAGACUUGAGGGAGAGACCAAUCUAAGAUAUAGUAUGGGUGAGACUCGUGGGCAAGGCUCGUGAGAUUUUGGCAAUGCAGGUGGGACCUGGUAGAGGCCUUAGAGCUAAGUUAGGGGAUCGAGGAUCCCAGCGCUUAAGAAGCCAGAGUAGCAAGGUAGAUGGAGCAGGUUUAGCUAGCCGAAGUUUCUUCGGAGGUCGCUGGGAACGACUAAGAGCUUGAGCUUGGGUUCGGUGACCAGAGGGAACCCAGUAUUAUGGAUGGUGGGUAGAGAGGUUCGGACUUGGGAGGUCCCCGUUCUUUUGGAAAGAAGACAAGAGGCAGCAUGGUGUUUGGGCAAAAGUGUCUAUCAUGAUGGUUCCUGUGUGGGAAGUAGAUUAGGGUUUGUAGAAGCUUGAAGUACGUAUUCUUCAGAAUGGAAGACCGAGUUGGCUUUCAGUGUAAUGGGAAUGUUAUUCCGUGCAUAGAAUCAUUAGGUAUGUUCCACAGAUUCAGUUGAUGGGGAUAUUGUGUUAGUAAGGAGAAACUUCGGGGACAAAGUCUAGUUUAAGUGGGGGAGAGUUGUAACACCCUGUUCCGAAAGUAUCCGUUAUUGGAUUCUAGAGCCCGAGGCUAGGGGCGUUUAGGUCUUUUGUUGGUCUUAAAGCUUUAUAUUUUAGGAAUUUUGGGCCAAGGUGUGUCGCUAGAAGCGAAGGGCUUCUUGCCACCUUUUCGUGGAUAUAAAGUGUUGGAUUAAUGUCUAAGUCCAUAACUAUAAUUGGUAAGACUUGACCCGACCCGGCAUGGUCCAUUUGGGUUGCAUGGCAUCAUGCAUUUGGAUAGACUAUAAUGAGAGAAAUAAUACUUAAGGUUGGUUAAUAUAUUAUAAGUUCUAAUAUAUUAAUAAGAUUAUUUAAUUAGUAUUGAUCAAGAAUUAAUCCAGGAUUAAUUAAGUGAUCAAAAGAAGACUAAUUAAAUAUAUGGGUUGAUUGUGUAAAUCAUCCAUACUUAUAUAGUGGGCUAAUGCUCCAUGGAUUAUCUAGUUGGGCUACAACCCAUAUGAUGCUUCAUGGAUGCUCCAUGGUGUUUUUGUACCCAUGGAUCAUGGAAAUGAAAGGCCAUGUCAAUUAGGGUUUACAUGGUGUAACCCUAACUAUAUCUGCAUCUUAUUCUUGACCAAAAUCGGCACUAGUAUCAUUCUAGAGAAGGGCUAGCCGAUUCCAAGUUUUUUACAUUUCUCUCAAGGUUAUUCCAAAAGCAAUUGAUGUUGUGUGAACCAUUUGAGGUGUCACACUUGGGGCACUAGGCACUCAAGCUUCAUGAAAAAUUUCUACAUCUAAGAGGUAUGUAAUUCUAAGUUGAUAUAUUCAUUUGAAUCAAUGUUAUUAUGCUAGUUAGGAUGAAUACCUUGGAAAGUCCAUAUUUGCAUGUAUAAUAGAGAAAACAUAGAUCCAAGGUAUUUAGGGUUGCAUGUACACUUAGGAGUGUUAGAAUGCUCAAAAUCCAAUAGUGGUAUCAGAGCCUAGACUUGUUUUCAAUUAUACUUUAUGCAAAUUGCUGAAAAAUGCUGAAAAAAUCGACUUUCUGGCUUUCUGGGCACUUGACUCGCCGAGUCCACUGAUGAACUCGCCGUAUCCAUGAAGAAAAUCAUCCUACUCGUCGAGUAGGUUGAUACACUCGAGGAGUAGGAGCCCGAGAGAGCAUAUUUUCGAGGUUUUGGCUAGAAAUGGACUAGGAACAUUACCCUAAGUUGUUUUUGAACAUACAAACUUGUUUUUGAUGUGGUAAUGUUCAUGCUAAUCCAAUUUCAAAGAUAAUUGUCAAUAGAUUCAUGUUUUGUAUUAGUUUAAGGUUUAGACUAAUUACAUGAAAAAGUUUGAUUUGAAUUAUCUUGUUCUUAUGAGUUGCUUAGAUUAAUAGAAAAGUUGAGUGAAAUAUGUGUUUUCAAUCCAAAUUAAUCUAAGAGUUGAUUCUAAAAUGUGUUUUUGUAACUUGUCCUCAAGUUAUAUGAAAAGUCACAUUUAAGUUUCAUAAAACUCAUAAAAGUUGGCAAUGGUUAAAAAAAAUGAAGAGUCUUGUCCUCAAGUUAUGGAGGUUCAAGAGUCACUUCAUUAAGUAAUAAAAUGUGUAACCUUAAUUAAUUCCAUAAGUUAUAAAAUAAAGAAAAGUUACAUUCUUUUAUUAGUUUAAAGUCAUCCAUAACUAGUGCUCAAGUUAUGGAACUUGAAGAGUUUUUGGAUUAAAACUACUUUAAACACAUAAGUUAUGGAAUUAAUUAGUUUCGAAUAAUUUCAAAACUAGCCCACAAGUUUUGGAGUUUCAAAAGUUUUCACUUAUAAAAACUUUAAUUCCAAAUUAGCCCUUAGAAUUUUAAAUGUUAAAAUUCAACCGUUAUACUUUAUAAUAUUAUAAGUUAAUAAUAUUUAUAUAUAUGUAUAAGAGUAAAGUCAGUCUUACCGUUAGUAGGCCUCAUUCACGAAGCCGGUCUAUAAGGGGGUAUAAGGUUACUGCCUAUAAAAUGGCAGUUUAAUGGGUGUCCACUCUCACCCACCGCUUCCUUGACCGGUGGAGGGUCGUUAGCCGAACGGGUAGGACAAGGACUAGAAUUCUCCCUUCAUUAAAAGUAUUAAUGAUAAAUACUAAGUAACUAAACUCUUAUUAAUACCGAAUCUUAGUUACUUAGGAAAAUGUGAAUUUGGUGCUGAACCAUGAAAUUACACUUUGCACUUUGCUGAAGUCGUUAGUGGAGCGUGUGUGGUUAACCGGCACACUGACCUGGAUUUAACAAGGUAGGCAAAGGGUAACUUAAUGUUUAUCAUAGUAUCGGUGGACCGUGUGUGGUUAAUCGGCACAUCAAUUAGGGGGUAAACACUUAAGGGUAUCCAGUACAUUUGCAUGGUUACUUCACACCUUGUUUUAUGAUCCUCAGUAUCCCAGUCACAAAACCUGAAGGGCACACUCGAGAUUGAAACAUGGCAUUGAAAAGUUCAAUGAAUCUCAAAAGAUCUAGGAGUUUCAAAUCCAAUUAAAACCUAAUAACACUUUCGUUUAUCUUAGUGGAAAUUGGUGAAUCGUCAUUCACCUACCUUCAAAUAUUUUAUAGCUUGGAUUACGGCAUCCCUCUUCUAAGUUAUAAAAUAGUUUGUUGGGUCCUAGCCUUAAUAUUUCAUAUUGGGUGUCAUAUUAUGGACUUUAGAUCAACUAACUUGAAUAUCUCCCAAAAGAUGUCUGGUUUAGACAUUUAUGAUCUUCCCAAAUCUCUUGAAAUAAGCUUUCCUAAAUGAAGAUGAUGUCCCAUGGAAAUCAUACUUCUUCCACCUCCUCCAAUUGUCCUCUUGAAAAGUUUAAGGUCACUCAAGCCCUAUUGGCAAGUAUAGGUUUAUGUGUGAUCACAUCUUGGAGAUGUAGUCACAUAUUGACAAGUCGGGAGAGUUCGGUGUCAAAGUCUUGAGAAAUUUGGUGGUUCAAUCACUUUCUAAGUCACAUAGUGAGUUCCUUUGGGACACCUAUGAAACAGACUAUGACAAGACCCUUAAUGAUCUUAUCUAUUUGCUAAGAUCAACUUCCUAAAACUUGUGGACAUUGACAAUGAUGACACUGGAUAUCCAGUAAAGCUCUCUCUUCCCAAUGGAAAGGGAUCGGCCAUAGUCAACUUGGUUGACCAAAUGGUAAAGAGAGAGGAUAAGUUUGAGAUAGUCACAUUAUCAAGGGUCCAUUGCCAAAGGAAGGGGCAUUAGUUGCGAAGCUACCGAAUUUACCUAAGUAUGUGAAAGUCAAUAAGUUUGACUCUACUCCAGGUAAAGUACACUAUCUAACGCUGCUAAGUUUCUAUUCUAAGAUUCUUGUUACAUGAUGUGACUGGGUCACAUGUUGAUGUUUUAAGAAUCAAAGAAAAGUGAAGAAACUUAAAGAAAGAAUAUGCUGAAUCUGAUCGCGUAGAUGGAUUUCUAUCGCAUAGUUUUAAGAUCGGAUUCUUGAGCUACUUCUUAGGAGUUAUGAGAUACUGCUUAUUAUAGAUAACAACAAGUUUUCAUAUGGAUUGUAAGGAUAAAUUUUUCCGCAAAAUUUUUAAAAUAAAAGAUAAAAAUAUUUGAUUUUAUUUAUUUUAAAAUAACCUUAAUAUGGCAUUUGAGGAAAAAAUUGUUGCUUAUAUGAUUCCAUUAAUAGCAAGAGUGGAACUAUGAAAUUGAUUCUUUCAUUUGUGGUAAUGUCUAAAUUUACCAAAUAUGGAAAGAUCCUCAUCACCCAAGUUUCAAUUGGACCAGAACAUGGAAUCAUGCAAGUUGUGUAGCAUAAUGAAUGAGAAUUUUUCAUCUUUGGAAAAUUAAGACUAGUUCCUUGUUCACAUGUAUAUGUGAGUCAAGUGAAGGACUAAGGGAUCGACUACACAUUCUUGUGUACUGGUCAAGUCCACCACAAAAGAUAGAUAAUAUUAUUCGUCAUAAUUUACUAAAGCUCAGUAAAUAUGGUUAUACUUAUAAGCUUAAGUGUAAUUCUGAGACAUUGGAAAAGGUUCCAAUGUAUGGCAGAGCGAAUAAGAAGAAAGAUAGAAGUUUCUCAAAUCUGAAAAGAUGGGAUAGUACUUUAGUAUCAUGUUUAUGAUCAUCUUAAUGAUUAAGAUACCAUAUCACAAUUGUUCCUCUAAGGUCAUCUUAGUGCAUUUUUAUGACUAAGAAGAGGAAUCUUGUAUUGUUGGAAUGGUUAAAUCAAGAAGAUGAGUCAUACUUCGUUCCAAUACAAGUCUUAGAGUCAUACUCAAAGAUUGUAACUUGAGUGACAUGUCUUAGAGAAGGUUUAAAACACAUGUCAAAUGUAAGACAAAAAGUUCUCUACUCUUGUACAUUUGAAAUUGGUAAGUUGUGAUGUUUUGGAUAAAAUAAAGACCAACUAAGGCCAAUUGUGUGAAGUGUUUGUCUUGAUAUGAAUCCACACUAUCUCUUGAAUAUUUGACAAGAAAGUCUUAUCUGUCAAGAGGACAGUGGGAGUCUUAAAGAUCUUGAAAGUCUCAAGAACUAAUCAAGAAUAAAACCUGAAGUUCUUCACUAGCACACGACUUGAGGUUCAUAACCUAUCGUGUUGACAUAUUUUGUGCCCAUUCCAAUUAAAGAUGGAUUUGCAUAUGAGUUCUUAAAGUUCUCAAUUGGUUGCACAAGUUCAAUCCAUAAGAGUUUGGAUUUGUCACUAACCUAGUCUUGUGAUUAUGGUUUUUACAAUUCACAUGGAUAAGAACACAUAAACCGUUAAAUCUAAGUGUCAUAAGGUUUCUCUUUGAUUCAUGGAAAUGAUGGUGAGGAAACACUUUCACUAAGUAGAUUUUAGCUAGAUAGCAAUUGUGAUAUUUGCAUUCUCAAAGUCGUUAGUGGAGCGUGUGUGGUUUACCGGCACACUAACCUGGACUUGUGAGAAGUGGCAAANNNNNNNNNNNNNNNNNNNNNNNNNNNNNNNNNNNNNNNNNNNNNNNNNNNNNNNNNNNNNNNNNNNNNNNNNNNNNNNNNNNNNNNNNNNNNNNNNNNNNNNNNNNNNNNNNNNNNNNNNNNNNNNNNNNNNNNNNNNNNNNNNNNNNNNNNNNNNNNNNNNNNNNNNNNNNNNNNNNNNNNNNNNNNNNNNNNNNNNNNNNNNNNNNNNNNNNNNNNNNNNNNNNNNNNNNNNNNNNNNNNNNNNNNNNNNNNNNNNNNNNNNNNNNNNNNNNNNNNNNNNNNNNNNNNNNNNNNNNNNNNNNNNNNNNNNNNNNNNNNNNNNNNNNNNNNNNNNNNNNNNNNNNNNNNNNNNNNNNNNNNNNNNNNNNNNNNNNNNNNNNNNNNNNNNNNNNNNNNNNNNNNNNNNNNNNNNNNNNNNNNNNNNNNNNNNNNNNNNNNNNNNNNNNNNNNNNNNNNNNNNNNNNNNNNNNNNAAAACUAGUAGAAAUACAUACCUUGUUGUUGCUUGGAUUCCUUCAAGACUUUGUGAGCCUAGCACCCCAAAUGUUGUGCCUCAAAUGCUUCACACAACACCACAAAACUUGGAAUAACUUGAGAGAAUACUUCUAGCACUCAAAAUCGGUUAUGCCCUCUCUAGUAACCUUACUAGGUCCGAUUUCACUAGCCAAAGGGUCCCUUUUAUAGUGGUGUCACAAUUAGGGUUUUCACAUGUAUACUCUUAAUUGUCAUGACUCUUCAUUUCUCAUGACCCAUGGGUUUGUAACUCCCAUGGACUAUCCAUGGAGCUCCAAAUGGUUACAUCCAUAACCCAUAAACCAUGGAUCAUUAAUCCACCAUAAAAGAUUUGAUGAUUGUCAUAAUCAACCCUAUAUAUUUAAUUAGUCUCACUUUGAUCACCAAAUUAAUACUAGAUUAAUACUUGAUCAAAUGCUAAUUAAAUAAUACUAUUAUUAAUAUAUUAGAACUUACAGUAUAUUAAUAAUCAUAAGUGCCAUAUUCUCUCAUUUAGUCUAUCCAAGUAUUGCAAUGCCAUGCAACCCAAAUGGACCAUGCUGGGUCGGAUCAAGUACAUACCAAAUAAAGUUAUGGACUUAGACACUAUAUCCAACAUGAACUUCAUGUUGGAAUAGCUAAACAUAAGGAAAUUUUAUAUAUGGUCCAUUAUUUGCAUUCUAAAAUUCGAGAACUUAUGUGAGACAUCAUGAAUCCUGUCCCAUAUGCUUCGGAUAUAGGACCGAUUACACGUGCUAUAUUCAUCCAUUCUAAAAUUUUCUAGAUGUCUGGGGCAUUAAGAAGGGAAAAGGUUUAGAACUGGAUAUGACUAAAAGGAUUAAAUAAUUUUCGAGGACAAUCUGUGGUUUACCAAAGAUUGGUUACUCAAGGACAAUUAGAUGUAUAGUGUUAAUUCUGGAAGGACCAUAUUGACACAAUUUGUAAGGAGGCAACUCUUGUUUAGAAGUGAUAGUCAAAAUGGAAUAUGGAA
rnacentral:lncRNA from 1 species